rnacentral:lncRNA from 1 species
GAAGAAGAAGGAGAAGAAGAAGAAGAAGAAGUAGGAGGAGAUAAGAAGGGGAAGAAGAAGGAGAAGAAGGAGGGAGAAUAAUAAGGAGGAGAUAAGAAGGAGAAGAAGGAGAAGAAGGAGGGAUCCUUCUCCUCCUCCGCCGUCUCCUUCUUAUUGUCUUCUUCUUCUUCUUCCUUCUUUUCAUUUUUCCUCUUUCUUCUCCUCUUCUCCUCUUCUUCUUCUUCUUCUUCUUCUUCUCCUCCUCCUCCUCUUCUCCUCUUCUUCCUCCUCUUCUUCUUCUUCUACCUCUUAUUUAUAUUUCUAUUUUGCUUUAUCCUCUUCUUCUACUUAUUCUUCGUUUCUUCUUUUUUCUCUGCUUCUCCUUCUUAUUUUUCUUCUUCUUCUUCUCUUCUUCUCUCCUUCUUCUCUUCUUCUUUUCUUCUUCUCCUUCUGAUUUUUUUAGUUCUCCUGCUCCUCCUCCUCCUCUUCUUCUUCUUCUUCNNNNNNNNNNNNNNNNNNNNNNNNNNNNNNNNNNNCUUCUUCUUCUUCUUCUUGUCCUUCUUAUUUUUUUCUUCUCCUCCUCUUCUUCUUCUUCUUCNUCUUCUUCUUCUUCUUAUCCUCCUCCUCCUCCUCCGCCUCCUCCUCUUCUUCUUCUCCUCUUCUCCUCCUCUUCUCCUCCUCUUAUUCUUCUUCUUCUUCUUCCUCCUUUUCUUUCUAUUAAGCUAACUAACUAGUGGCAGAUGGUAUUUAUAUGAAAAGCUAAGAAUAUAGGGCUCAUCAACUAGUACACCGACUACUACAACAACUACAAUAACAACAACAACUACUACAACAACUACAAUAACAACAACUACUACAAUAACUACAAUAACAACAACUACUACNGGGCUCACCGGCAGGGGCGGCUGUGGCGUCGUUGGCCGUGGGGCCAAGGGUGUUGGGGCGGCGGGCCGGUGCGAGGGGUGUUGGGGCUCCAGGGCGGCGGAGGGGGCGGUGAGGCAGCGGUGCUGCGGGCUGUGGAGUACCGGGGCGGCGCCGUGGGCGGAGGGGCGGCGGCGGCGCGACGGUGGUGGCGGUGGUGGGCAUCGGGGAGAGGAGUGGAAGAGAGUAGGGGUGUGGAGCCGUUACACAGUGAGUGAGUGAGAGAGAGAGAGGGGCGGGGUGGGGGCAAAGAGUCGUUACGGAGUUAGCUCUUUGUCGUCUACCGGUGGACGGCAAAGAGUCUAGANNNNNNNNNNNNNNNNNNNNNNNNNNNNNNNNNNNNNNNNNNNNNNNNNNNNNNNNNNNNNNNNNNNNNNNNNNNNNNNNNNNNNNNNNNNNNNNNNNNNNNNNNNNNNNNNNNNNNNNNNNNNNNNNNNNNNNNNNNNNNNNNNNNNNNNNNNNNNNNNNNNNNNNNNNNNNNNNNNNNNNNNNNNNNNNNNNNNNNNNNNNNNNNNNNNNNNNNNNNNNNNNNNNNNNNNNNNNNNNNNNNNNAAAGAGUCUAGACUCUUUGCCGUCUGCCUCCGGACUCUUUGCCGUCAGCUAGCAGACGGCAAAGAAGGGACUCCAGUUUGACCUAACGUCCCUGCGGUCAGGUGGGCCCCACCUGUAUAUUUGUCGUCUGUUGUGCGUCUCUUUGCCGUCCGCGGCUGACGGCAAAGAUGUGACUGAUGGCAAUGACCUUCUAUGGCAUCAGCCAUUUCUUUGUCGUCCGCUUUGUGGCAGCUGACGGCAAAGACACUCUUUGUCGUCUGCUCGUUGAUGGCAAAGAUUUGGCAGACGGCAAAGAACUUAAUUCCAGUAGUGUAUGGCGUUAUUGUUCUAGUGGUGUUACGUGAACAUUAACUACAUAACACUUCGCCUUUUUAAGGACCUAGGGGAAUGCAUCAUGUAUAAAGAAUGCUUAUGGUGGGUGGCCGGAGUGACAAAAACAUGAUCCCCAGUUCACAUGCUUUGCAUGAGGGAGUAUUGGUUCCUAAAGCUUAUUGCUAUGGUUAGGCUUUGCCUUAAUUUAUCUCUUGUAUUUUUCUUGCAAGAGGGAUUAAUCAUAAGAGUGUACUUGUCUUAGCCUAGACGAUGCACUAAUUAAGAUCCACCCACAUAACACUUAUCAAUACAAAACAUAGUACUAGAGAGAGUAUGGCGAACACACUUGACUAUCUCUCUCAUGUGUGCUCAGGAAUGCCUUAGUCUUUAUAAGUUUAGUCCCUUGGCUUAUCGUUUGUGUUUAAAAGGAUUGGGCCACUUGCUGCACCUCGGCACCGUUUACUUUACUUGCAUUUAAUUCCUUGUUGCUUAUACUAGAAAACCCAUAAAAAGUUACCUUUCACUACUUGAAGUUGUUCCUUGCUCAAGAUCACUUGUCAAUACCUCCUGCUCCUCAUUGGGUUCGAAACUCUUACUUAUCGAAAAGGCUACAAUAGAUCCCCUACACUUGUUGGUCAUCAUCCGUUCAGCACUAGAUCGGGAUGGAUCAUGAUGGGAUCGCAUGACGGAUCGUGAUGAGAUCACGGGACGGACUACAAUUUGGAUCGUGAAGAUGUUCCACUACAUAAACCACGUUAUAUACGCUCCGGCUUAGCGUUCUACUAGGGUAUGUAGAUACACUCUCCCCUCUCGUAGAUGGUCAUCACCAUGGAUAGAUCUUAUGUUCACGUAGGAAAAAAAUUUGUUUCCCAUGCGACGUUCCCCAACAACAAGUUAGUAUCAGAGUAGUACCGACCUAGGAGCCCCUUGAUUUAUUGAACUUGGCCGAAUCGAGUCUAGUAAAAAACGUCUUUGAGUCUAGUUAUAUAUCGGAGAGUAGGAUUUAUUUUCUCCUCUUCUAUGCUCUAGUGAGGAAUCUUGACGUAAUAAUUUUAGUUCUACUCCUCUUAUAACUCAAAAAAAUUAGGAUCAUGCGGAUAUUUUUGGAAUCUAUAUGAUGUCGAUGUGACGUAGUUCUGUCUUGGUUCCUCCUAUCUGACUUGAUUUCUUCCGGGGAGUUGAGCUUGAGGGGAGUCUUGACCACAUCGCUAUCAUUCCGAUUUCUUAGUAUCUCAGGACGGAGGAUGUUUAAAAUUGCUUCAACACUAUUAGUGGCGAGAGGUGUCCAACAUCCCUAGUACUGGUGGAGAGAAUUCGGAUGUACUGCCAUACUUGGUAUCAUUGUGAUUACAAAGGUGUGACAUAGAUGAGUUUCCGAGAAUCUGGUUAUGUGUUGACGGAUGUGAUACACUGGACGGGUUAGUGUUAUUGCUAGGAGUUGACUGAUGAAUUUUCUCCUUGUAUCCGUGGAACCGAUUGCAUGACCAGAAGUUUCAGAAGUUCUUAGGUGGGAAUUCAAGUAGUUACUUAUAGGAAAAUCUUCCAACAGAUGCAUGAUGUGAGGUUGGGGUUCAACAUCUCGUGGAGUACCAUGAAAAUAUCGGACAGAAUUUCUGUCAUGAAUUUGUUCUGGCUUUUGUUGUAAGCCUCAUCCUUUGUUUUGUUGGAAUAUGGUUAUUCGAGUUGCUUCGAUGUCAAUUGGUGAUUUCAUAUAUUUUCUAAGUGGUGUUCUCAUAUUUCUAUGGGAAUGCUAAUUAUUUUUCUCAAUCAAAUUGUCUUAUCAAUUCUUGUCAACCAGAGUCAUCAUGUCAAUUCUUUUUCAACCGGUGUGCUUCUCUUCAAGUAAUUCAAUCCUCUCCAAUAUUUUCAAGAUCAACCUCUCAUUUCAUUCUGGAGUUUGUCUCAUCUGCCCUAAGUUGUCAUUGUUUUCCCCGCCCUCCCACCCUUUUCUUUAGUGAUUGGAUUUCAUCCAAGUGCAUUUCUUUUCUUGAUACUUCCGCUAUCUUCUCUUUUGCGUCAUAUCUGGUGAUUCAUUGAGAAGAUUCUCCGGAGUUGCUAGUUCAUCAUUCUUCAUUCUUGUUUUCUUCUCAUGUGGAUUCAUUUCAAGAUUCGGUGUUCAUCAUAUCAUUUUCAUUCGUUCAAUGUUUUUCCCAUGUUGGAAAUUCUUAUUCAAACCUCUCUUGUUUACUCAUCUCUCUCUAUUCUGUCCAGAGUGCUAAAGAUAUCUCAGAAGUUUCUUGUUUUCAAUCCUUUCAAUUAUUUCAAGGUUCUCACCUCAUCAAGUUUUCUUUACACCGGUGCAAUAUCUCUCUUCCUAAGCAAUAUUUUCAAUGGUGGUUUCUUUUGAGUGGGCCCAUAACCAACAGGUUGUUCUCCAAGAUCUUAUCUAGCUACUUUAAUCUUUUCCGGAGAUCCCUAAUUCUUUCAAGUAUGAAGUAAGAAUGAUUUCCAUGAUUCAUAUUUCUUCUUCAAGACCGAUCUGAAUUGUUUAUCAUCAUUGGCUCAACUUUUUCAUUAUUAAUUAUUCCAGAACGUUUGAGUAAUUCUUGAUGGAGAUUCUUUCCAUCAUUCUCAGCUUGGAGAUCGAAGGAGUGUUUCCUUUAAAUCUUCAUGCAUUAUUUAAAAAAUUGUUAUCUCAGCUUCGUGCUUUCGUCUCAACUAUUGUCAACCAUAUGUAAUUCCUUCCAUAUCUAUGUGGUGCAAUUUUGAGUUAUUUUCAUUUCUCGAUCCUCCGAAGGCCAUCAUUUCAGAAGAUUUCUUCGCUCUCAGCUUUCAGCUAUCGUUCUCAAAUUCUUCUCAAUUGUUGUCUCUUCGUUCGUAUCUCAAUUAUUCCGGUGCUUCAUUCAAGUUUUCUGUUAGGUGGCUCAAGCUCUCUCCGUUCUCAUGUAUUCCAUCCAUUUCUAAUAUCCCAGUUUGUUCUAAUUCUUCAGGUGGAUCAUGAUCUCUUCAUUCUCAUGUAUCUUAUUUCAUUCAUUUGCAAUUCUUACCGGUGGCUUGUUCAAGCAUUCUCGAAUCAUGCUCUCUUUGUCCCCAUGUAGCCCACAUAAUUCAACUUAUCCUCCUUUAUUCCAAAUUCUUACCGGUGGUUCCUUCAAGACUUAUUCAAGUGUGUGCCUUAUCUAUGUCUCUUUUGUCUUUUCAAGAAGAAUAAGUGGCACGCUAAAUCCGUUGCUUGUCAUCAAUUUAACUUGAUGAAGGAUAGGCAUAACAUAAUUCUUAUUCUUAUUGCACCAGGUGAUUUCAAUUCUUCUUCCGGAGUGUCUCAUGAUAUCAAAUUCUUUAUCCCAAGUGCUUCAUCUUUCUUUUCCGGAGUUCAAGUUUUCCCAAGUUUCUGUUGGCGAAGUUCCAUCUAAUUCUUUGCAAGGCCAUAAUCUUAUUCUUCAUCCUUCAUUUGUUUUCAUCAUUCUUUUGUUCUAGAGGUUCUUCAUGGUGGUUCAUCAAGGAUUUAAUUCUUUCCCAAGGUGUUUUUCAAGAUUCUUGUGUUGGUACCUCUAGUAUUCUUUACCUUGCAUUUCAAAGUGCAAUUAUUCCUCCUUGUCCUUUGAGGUGGUGUUGUAGAAUUCUUGUUAGUGGAGGAUUCUCGAAGGGAAUUGCUUCAAGAAUGAGAUAAUUAAACCCACAAAUUCCUCCAAUUAUGAGAUAUUUUCAACCCAUGAUUUCUUCAUUAAGCUAUCUUUGUUAGGAUUUCACCUAAAGCUUUUCCUGUGGAUUGUUGCUAUCAUGGUGAUUAUCAUUGAUCCAAGUUCUCAAUGUAUCAUCUUGGUGAAAGAAGUUCUCCAAGUCUUCUUGCUCCCAAGCAGUGUUUCUUUCUAUUAGUAGCUGGUUGUCAACUCAUUAUUUGAGAUGGUUUUUCAUAAGUCCAAUACAACCUUGUUCUAUUCAUUUUUGAUUUUCCGAUAACUCCAUUCAUUACUUUUUGCAAGGAUGCUUACCAAAUUCAAUUGUGGUAGUAGUUGUCAUUUUUCUUCUUCAUUCUAACUUCACAAUGAUCUAGUUUCUAUUCUCUUGUUUUGGAGCUGUUGUGAUCUUGGUCUCUUUUAUCCAUUAUAUAGUUGUGUCAAAGAUCGUUUUCUUUCCUUUCUUAUUGAUUUAACCGGAGUGUUGUGUCUUCUUUCAUGUUCUUCCUUCCAUAUCAAUUUACUUGGUUUGUUGUGAAUCUUGUCAAGAUAUUUCCAUCUAUCAAAUUUUUUCCUCAAUUUCCUACCGAAGUGCUGCCGAAAUUUCUAUUGAAUUCUUGCUUGUUCCUCAUGUCAUUCUUCAUCUCGUUGCAGCAUGUAAGAUUCGUCGGUUUCACUCAUUUGACAUAGAAGAAACUAAGUUUUACCUCUUGCUCUUUCUCAUCCUCUUCCCCUUUCAUUCUUAGAUCUCGGGGGCGAGAUCUCUUGUUAGUUAGGAGAGUUGUAACAGCCCGGAACCGAUGCCCCAGAAGAUCCCCCUUUUAGUCCAUUGCCGUCAUGUGAUUUAAUUGUUUGUCGCAUUCAUAAUGUCAUCAUGCCAUCAUGUCAUCAAUUUUUUUGCAUCUCAAAUAAAUAAAUUGCAUAGAUCUUUGGAUCUAUUUAAAUUGAGGGAUUCACAUGAUGAUUCUCUUUAUAACAUGUCCUCCCAAUAUUUUAGGGAGCUACUAUAAAAUAUUCCAUUAACUCGAAUCAACCAACACACUUGCAAAUUAAAUGUUCAUGCCUUUUACACUCCAUGUUUGGUCUCGAGACUUUGCCCAUGAUUCCUUUUGUAACAUUCCCAAGCUCCACCAUAGUUCUCUUCACUUUGGACUCUUCAAAAACCUUGUCCUAGUGCAAACCUUUGGAAUUAAUUUAAAUCUCGUCUUCAUGCAACUUCUACUUUCUUGGGUCAAGCUUAUUUUUGUGAGUCGAGGAAAUCAACCCCCCCAUGCCUAAAAAUCCAUCUCUAGUGAUCUUAUUUCCUCUCCUUUUUCUUCCCUGCUUAUUCUUUUUCUAUUUGGCAAAUGGAAGAUGUGAGAGAGAGAGGCCCACCGCUGCCAGGCCAACCCAUUGGGCCAAGGCCCAGUCAACCCCCUAUAACCCUAGCACCAGGGAGAGAGAUCCCUCGCUCAAUUCCCUCCCGACCGCCGCCGACCCCUGCCCAACCCCCAUCUCGCUCUCCUCUCGAUCGCUCCCACUUGUUCCCUCCAGUGCCGCCACACACGCACACAUAUCAUAGGGAGGAGCUCCUAGCCCCCGAUCCCCAAGACUGCAGUCUCCUCCUCCAUCGAGCUCGCCUUCCAUGACCGUGCUCACCCCUGCAUCGCUCUCCCAGCACCAGGAGAGCAUCGCUCGACACCCUGGCUCUGGCGACCCGGCCGUCGUCAGCCUCAUCUCCUCGCCGUUGCCCUACCGUCCAUCACUGGAUCGGUGCCCCACCACCGGAUCUCCCCGUCGCUGUCCAAGGAGAUUCUUCAGUUGCGCCAUGGACGCCCGUCGAAGCUUCAACCCAAGCCAUGCAGCUCGUCGCCUCGCGCGUGUUUUGUACAGCUCACCCAUGCAGGUCCCCUGCGCUCCAUCACCAUUCCCGUCGGACCAGGCCAUCAUCUCUCCCGUGCACCUCCUUCAUCCACGCGAGCACGCCGCGCCCGAACCAUGUCCUCAACCUCAUGCACCCGGCAGCAGCUCCGCCCUCCUCCGCGUGCUCGCCCCCAUCUCCUCAAGCCAGCCUAUAGUAGCCAUGGCGUCGCCUGAUAUGUCUCAAACGUAUCUAUAAUUUCUGCUUGUUCCAUGAUCUUUUAGGUGACAUUGUUAUAUGUUUUGCUACACUUUUAUAUCAUUUUACACAUAUUUGGACUAACCUACUAACUCAGUGCAUCCAUUGCCAGUUUUUGUCUGCUGAUGUCUUUUUUCCACGGGCUUUUACCCAAUUUUCCGAAGCCCGAAAAAAUCCAGAAAAAUAUAUAAAAACAAUGAGCAAAACAGAAGCUUGGGGAUCACCGAAGGGGGGGCAGAGGGGGGCCAGGGGCUUCCCAGUCGGCCUGCUGGCGUGGCCAGGCGCUAGGCUGCGCCAGGAGGUCGCCUGGGUGGGUCCCACCUCCUCUGGUGCCCUCCUUUGGCCUAUAUUUAGAGAUCCAUGAGGAAACCCUCGCAGACUUUCUAGACUCACGAAUUUCUCCAUCGUUCCGCCGUAGCAGCGCUUCCGAGAUCGGGAGCAUCAGGAGACCUCUUCCCGGCACCCUGCCGGAGGGAGGAUUGACCUCUGGGAGCUUCUCCACCACCACGGACGCUUCCCGGAUGUGCCGUGAGUAGUUUCCCUUGGACCAUGAGUCCAUGACCAGUAGCUAUGUGAUAUCUUCUCUCCAAUCUUGUGCUUCAGUGGUUAGUCCUUGUGAGCUGCCCUACAUGAUCAAGGCAUCUAUGUAAUUCUCUUGAUAUUGCUAUGCUCGGUUUGUUGGGAUCCGAUAGAUUAUGAGAUUAUGUUCAGAUUGUUAUGAGUUAUAUAUUUGAAUAUCCUUUUAUAUUUUGUUCCUUAGUGAUUCAUGCAUGUUCUCCUUUGAUUUUUAUUGCUUUGGCCAAGUAGUAGAUCGUAACUCCAAGAGGGACCGUUAUGCAUGAUUGUGGGUUCGGGCCCCUCGAUGUCUAGCUUGAGUGACAGAAACAUGAGACUAGGGUAUGUGCUUGUUGCCACGAGGGAGAAAACAACGGUGCUUGUGACUACGGUAUCAAGGAUUGUUUACCUUACGCAUAGUUCGUUAAUGCAGUUGUCCGUUGCUUUGAGUUUACACUUUGGGUGGGGCUCGCAACUUAAUACCAGAGAGAUGUUCUAGAUAGAUAUUUCAAGGUGGAUGAUUAGUAAGUAGAUGCUGAUGAAUAAAAUGUUGGGGAACAUUGCAUGGGAAACAGAAAAUUUCCUACGCACACGAAGACCUAUCAUGGUGAUGUCCAUCUACGAGAGGAGAUUUGGAUCUAUGUUCCCUUGUAGAUUGCACAACAGAAAGCGUUAAGAACCGCGGGUGAUGUAGUGGAACGUCCUCACGUCCCUCGAUCCGCCCGACGAACGAUCCCAUGAUCCGUCCCACGAUCCGUUCCGAUCUAGUGUCGAACGGAUGACACCUACGCGUUCAACACACGUACAGCUCAACGAUGAUCUCGGCCUUCUUGAUCCAGCAAGCAAGACGGAGAAGUAGAUGAGUUCUCCGACAGCGUGAUGGCGCUCCGGUGGUGGUGACGAUCUACUCCUGCAGGGCUCCGCCCGAGCUCCGUAGAAAUACGAUCUAGAGGAAGAACUAUGGUGUCUAGAUCCGAGUUGCACGUGGCAAAAGUUGUCUCAAAUCAGCCCUAGACCACCACUAUAUAUAGGAGGGAGGGGGAGGAGGCUUGCCUUGAGGGCCAAGCCCUCAAGGGUGUGCCGGCCAAGGGAGAGGAGGAUUCCUACUCCAAUCCUACUCCAAUUAGGAUUGGAAAGUGGAGUCCUUCUCUUCCUUCCCACCUCUUUUUUUCUUUUUCUUUGGUUUUCUUUCCUUGGUACCAAGGCCGUCUUAGGAUGUCCCACAAGACCACUAAGGGUGGUGCGCCACCCCUAAGGCCAUUGGGCUUCCCCCGGGUGGGUUUCCCAUGCCCGGUGAACUUCCGGAACCCAUUUGUCACUCCCGGUACAAUCCCGGUAAUGCCCGAAAACAUUCCGGUAACCAAAUUAAGUCAUCCUAUAUAUCAAUCUUCGUUUCCGAACCAUUCCAGAAACCCUUGUGCCGUCCGUGAUCUCAUCCGAGACUCCGAACAACAUUCGGUAACCACACAUAUAACUCAAAUAUAAUAAAUAUCAUCGAACCUUAAGUGUGCAGACCCUGCGGGUUCGACAACUAUGUAGACAUGCCCCGAGGUACUCCUCGGUCAAUAUCCAAUAGCGGGACCUGGAUGCCCAUAUUGGAUCCUACAUAUUCUUCAAAGAUCUUAUCGGUUGAACCUCAGUGUCAAGUAUUCAUAUAAUCACGUAUGUCAUUCCCUUUGUCCUUCGGUAUGUUACUUGCCCAAGAUUCGAUCGUCGGUAUCCGCAUACCUAUUUCAAUCUCGUUACCAGCAAGUCUCUUUACUCGUUCCAUAAUACAAGAUCCUUUGACUUACACUUAGUCACAUUGCUUGCAAGGCUUGUGUGUGAUGUUGUAUUACCGAGUGGGCCCCGAGAUACCUCUCCAUCACACAAAGUGACAAAUCCCAGUCUUGAUCCAUACUAACUCAAUGGACACCUUCGGAGAUACCUGUAGAGCACCUUUAUAGUCACCCAGUUACGUUGUGACGUUUGAUGCACACAAGGUAUUCCUCCGGUGCCAGUGAGUUAUAUGAUCUCAUGGUCAUAGGAACAAAUACUUGACACGCAGAAAACUAUAGCAAUAAAACGACAUGAUCAAUAUGCAACGUUCAUAGUUUGGGUCUUGUCCAUCACAUGAUUCCCCUAAUGAUGUGAACCCCUUAUCAAGUGACAACACUUGUCUAUGGUUAGGAAAACUUGACCAUCUUUGAUCAACGAGCUAGUCAACUGGAGGCUUACUAGGGACAAUGUUUUGUCUAUGUAUCCACACAUGUAUUUGUGUUUCCAAUCAAUACAAUUAUAGCAUGGAUAAUAAACGAUUAUUAUGAACAAGGAAAUAUAAUAAUAACUAAUUUAUUAUUGCCUCUAGGGCAUAUUUCCAACAGUCUCCCACUUGCACUAGAGUCAAUAAUCUAGUUCACAUCACCAUGUGAUUUUAACGAAUCCAACACCCAUAUAGUUCUGGGGUCUGAUCAAGUCUUUCUCGUGUGAGAGGUUUUAGUCAACGGUUCUAAAACUUUCAAAUCUGUGUGUGCUCUACAAAUCUUUAUGUCAUCUUAUAGAUGCUGCUACUACGUGCUAUUCAGAAAUACUCCAAAUAUCUACUCUACUAUACAAAUCCGUCUUACUACUCAUAGUUAUUUGGAUUAGUUUCAGAGCUUGCAUCGACGUAACCCUUUACGAUGAACUCUUUAACCACCUCCAUAAUUGAGAAAAAUUCCUUAGUACAUUAGUUACUAAGGGUCAAUUUGACCGUUGUUCAGUGAUUCAAUCAUGUAUCACUCUCUGUACCUCUUAACAGACUUGUGGCAAGGCACACAUCAGGUGCGGCAUAGAGCAUGGCAUACUUUAGAGUCUAUGUCUAAGGCAUAGGAGACGACCUUCGUACUUUCUCUUUCUUCUGCCGUGGUGGGGUUUUGAGUCUUUACUCAAAUUCACACCUUACAACACAGCUAGGAACUCCUUCUUUGCUGAUCUAUUUUGAACUCCUUCAAAAACUUGUCAAGGCAUGUAUUUCAUUGAAAGUUCUAUUAAGCAUUUUGAUCUAUCUCUAUAGAUCUUGAUGCUCAACGUUCAAGUAGCUCUAUCCAGGUUUUCCUUUGAAAAACUCCUUUCAAACAACCCUUUAUGCAUCAUAGAAAUUCUACAUUACUUCAGAUCUACAAUAUGUCAACCACAUAUACUUAUCAGAAAUUCUAUAGUGCUCCCACUCACUUCUUUGGAAAUACAAGUUUCUCACAAACCUUGUACAAACCCAAAAGCUUUGAUCAUCUCAUCCAAGUGUAUAUUCCAACUCCGAGAUGCUUGCAUACUUGUUAGUAUCCUUAGGAUCGACAAAACCUUCUGGUUGUAUCACAUACAACCUUUCCUCAAGGAAACCGUAGAGGAAACAAUGUUUUGACAUCCUACGUGCAAUAUUUCAUAAAUAAUGCAGCAACUACUAACAGAAUUGCAACAGACUUUUAGCAUUGCUACGAGUCAGAAAGUCUCAUCAUAGUCAACUCUUUGAUCAUGUUGGAAACAUCUUUCCGACAAGUCGAGCUUUUCUUAAUGGUGACUUUUCACCAUCAUCGUCUAUCUUUCUUUCAAAGAUCCAUAUUUACUUUAGUAGUCUUACUAGCAUCAAGUAGUUCUUCCAAAGUCUAUACUUUGUCUUCAUACAUGGAUCCUCUCUCGGAUUUCAUGGCGUCCAGCCAGUUGUCGGAAUCCGGGCCCACCAUCGCUUCUCCAUAGCUCGUAGAUUCAUUGUUGUUCAACAACAUGACCUCCAAGACAGGGUUACCGUACCAUUCUGUAGUAGUACGCGACCUUUGUCGACCUAUGAGGUUUGUAGUAACUUGAUCUAAAGCUCAAUGAUCACCAUUAUCAGUUUCCACUUCAAUUGGUGUAGGCGCCACAGGAACAUCUUCAUGCGCCCUGCUACACACUGUUUUAAGUGACGUUCACUAACCUCAUCAAGUUCCACCACCCUCCCACUCAAUUCUUUCGACAAAUACCUUUCCUCGAGAAAGGACCCAUUUCUAUAAACAAACACUUUGCUUCCAUAUCUGAGAUAGGAGAUGUAUCCAACUGUUUUGGAUAUCCUAUGAAGAUGCAUUUAUCCGCUUUGGGUUCGAGCUUAUCAGACUGAAACUUUUUCACAUAAGCAUCGCAGCCCCAAACUUUCAAGAAAGGACAACUUAGGUUUCUCGAAACCAUAAUCUAUAAUGUGUCAUCUCAACGGAAAUACGCGGUGCCCUAUUUAAAGUGAAUGCGGUUGUCUCUAAUGCAUAACCCAUAAACGAUAGUGGUAAUUCGAUAAGAGACAUCAUAGUAUGCACCACAUCAAAUAAGGCGCGGCUAUGACGUUCGGACAAACCGUAACACUAUGGUGUUCUAGGUGGCAUAAAUUGUGAAACAAUUUCCACAUUGUCUUAACUGCGUACCAAAAACUCGCAACUCAGAUAUUCAUCUCUAUGAUCAUAUCGUAGACAGUCUAUCCUCUUGUCAUGACGAUCUUCACUCUGAAAUAGCUAUGAACUUUUCAAUAUUUCAGACUUGUGAUUCAUCAAGUAAAUAUUCUUGUAUCUACUCAAAUCGUCAGUGAAGUAAGAUCUUAAUGAUAUCCACUGCGUGCCUCAACACUCGGACUGCACACAUAAAAAAUGUAUCACUCCCAACAAGUUACUCUCUUGUUCCAUGUGGUAUGUUUUGCAUGUCUCAAGUGAUUCAAAAUCAAGUGGGUCCAAACGAUCCAUCUGCAUGGAGUUUCUUCAUGUGUUUUACACCAACAUGACUCAAGCGGCAGUGCCACAAGUAAGUGGUACUAUCAUUAUUACUUUGCAUCUUUUUGGCACAAAUAUUAUGAACAUGUGUAACACUACGAUCGAGAUUCAAUAAACCAUUGAAGGUAAUUAUUCAAGCAAAUAGAAUAACCAUUAUUCUCUUUAAAUGAAUAAUCAUAUUGCAAUAAACACGAUCUAAUCAUGUUCAUGCUCAACGCAAACAUCAAAUAACAAUUAUUUAGGUUUAACACCAAUCCCGAUGGUAGAGGGAGCGUGCGAUGUUUGAUCACAUCAACCUUGGAAACACUUCCAACACGUAUCGUCACCUCGCCUUUAGCUAGUCGCCGUUUAUUCCGUAGCUUUUAUUUCGAGUUAGUAAUCACUUAGCAAUCGAACCAGUAUCUAAUACCCUCGUGGUAUUAGGAGUACUAGUAAAGUACACAUCAAUAUCAUGUAUAUCAAAUAUACCUUUGUUGACUUCGCCAGCCUUCUCAUCUACCAUGUAUCUAGGGUAGCUACGCCUCAGUGACCGUUCCCGUCAUAACAGAAGCACUUAGUCUCGGGUUUGGGUUCGAUCUUGGGUUUCUUCAUUAGAGCAGCAACUCGUUUGCCGUUUCAUGAAGGGUCCCUUCUAGCCCUUUCCCUUCUUGAAACUAGUGGUUUUACUAACCAUCAACUAUUGAUGCUCCUUCUUGAUUUCUACUUUCGCAGUGUCAAACAUUGCGAAUCGCUCAAGGAUCAUAAUAUCUAUGCUUGAUAUGUUAUAGUUCAUCAUGAAGCUCUAGCAGCUUAGUGGCAAUGACUUUGGGAGAACAAUCACUGUCUCAUCUGGAAGAUUGACUCCCACUUGAUUCAAGUGAUUUGUUGCACUCAGACAAUCUGACAACACGCUCAACGAUUUGAGCUUUUCUCCUUUAGUUUGUAGACAAAGAAUCUUGUAGGAGGUCUCAUACCUCUCAACAAGGGCACGAGCAUGAAAUCUCAAUUUCAUCUCUUAGAACAUCUCAUAUGUUCCGCGACGUUUCAAAACGUCUUCGGCGCCUUGCUUCUAAGCUAUCAAGUAUUUAUGCACUGAACUAUCACGUAAUCAUCAAAAAACGUGUAUGUCAGAUGUUCACAACAUCCACAGACGACGCUCGAGGUGCAGCACACUGAGUAGUGCAUUGAGGACAUAAGCCUUCUGCGCAGCAAUGAGGACAAUCCUGAGUUUUACGGACUCGGUCCGCAAAGUUGCUAUUAUCAACUUUCAACUAAAUUUUCUCUACGAACAUAUAAAAAUAGUAGAGCUAUAGCGCAAGCUACUUCGUAAUUCGCAAAGACCAUUAGACUAUGUUCAUGAUAACUAGUUCAAUUAAUCAUAUUAGUUAAGAACUCCCACUCAAAAAGUACAUCUCUUUAGUCAUUUGAGUGGUACAUGAUCCAAAUCCACUAACUCAAGUACGAUCAUCACGUGAGUUGAGAAUAGUUUGAGUGGUAAGAAUCUCUAUCCUAAUCAUAUCAACUAUACGAUUCAUGCUCGACCUUUCGGUCUCAUGUGUUCCGAGGCCAUGUCUGCACAUGCUAGGCUCAUCAAGCUUAACCCGAGUGUUUCGCGUGUGCAACUGUUUUGCACCCGUUGUAUGUCAACGUUGAGUCUAUCACACCCGAUCAUAACGUGGUGUCUCGACAUGAUGAAUUGUCGCAACGGUGCACAGUCGCGGAGAACACAAUUUUGUCUUGAAGUAUUAGUGAGAGAUCACCUCAUAAUGCUACCUCCGUUCUAAGCAAAAUAAGGUGCAUAAAAGGAUUAACACUACAUGCAAUUCAUAAGUGACAUGAUAUGGCCAUCAUCAUGUGCUUCUUGAUCUCCAUCACCAAAGCACCGGCAUGAUCUUCUUCUCACCGGCGCCACACCAGGAUCUCCAUCAUCAUGAUCUCCAUCAACGUGUCGCCAUCGGGGUUGUCGUGCUACUUAUCCUAUUACUACUAAAGCUACGACCUAGCAAUAUAGUAAAUGCAUCUGCAAACACAAAUGUUAGUUUAAAGACAACCCUAUGGCUCCUGCCGAUUGCCGUAGCAUCGACUUGCAAGUCGAUAUUAACUAUUACAACAUGAUCAUCUCAUACAUCCAAUAUAUCACAUCACGUCAUUGGCCAUAUCAUAUCACAAGCAUACCCUGCAAAAACAAGUUAGACGUCCUCUAAUUUGUUGUUGCAUGUUUUACGUGGCUGCUACGGGUAUCUAGUAUGAUCGCAUCUUACUUACGCAAAAACCACAACGGAGAUGUGCAAAUUGCUAUUUAACCUCUCCAAGGACAACCUCAGUCAAAACCAAUUCAAUUAAAGUUGAAGAAACCGACACCCGCGAGUCAUCUAUAUGCAACGAGGUUGCAUGUUCAUACAUCUCAAACGUAUCUUUAAUUUUUGAUGGUUUCACGCUGUUAUCUUGUCUUCUUUGGUUGUUUUAUGUACCUUUUAUAUCUUUUCUGGGACUAACUUAUUAAUUCAGUGCCAAGUGCUAGUUCCUGUUUUUUCCGUGUUUUUGACUCUUUUCACAUCUGAUUUUGGAACGGAGUCCAAACAGAAGAAAAACCCUGAAAUGAUUUUUUCCCAAACGGAAGAAGAUCAGGGGGCCUCUGAGCCAAGCCAGGUGGGCUCCAGGGAGCCCACAAGCCCCCACUCCGCCACCAGGGGGAGGCGGCGGUGGGUAGGCUUGUAGCCUCCCUGGCCGCCCCCACACCUAGGUCUUUGGCCUAUAAAUUCCCAAAUAUUCCGCAAAAAACCAGGGAGCCUGGAAAAUACUUUUCCGCCGCCACAAGCUUCCGUUUCCGCGAGAUUUCAUCUUGAGACCCUUCCCGGCACCCUGCCGGAGGGGACUUUGGAGUUGGAGGGCUUCUUCAUCAUCAUCAUUGCCCCUCCAAUGACUCGUGAGUAGUUCACUUUAGACCUACGGGUCCGUAGUUAGUAUCUAGAUGGAUUCUUCUCUCUCUUGGAUCUUCAAUACAAAGUUCUCCAUUAUCUUCAUGGAGAUCUAUCCGAUGUAAUCUUGUUUGGCGGUGUGUUUGUCGAGAUCCGAUGAAUUGUUGAUUUGUGAUCAGAUUAUCUAUGAUAUUUAUUUGAGUCUUUGCCGAUUUCUUAUAUGCAUGAUUUGAUAUCCUUGUAAGUCUCUCCGAGUCUUGGGUUUUGUUUGGCCAACUAGAUCUAUGAUUCUUGCAAUGGGAGAAGUUCUUGGUUUUGGGUUCUGCCAUGUGGUGACCUUUCCCAGUGACAGUAGGGGCAGCAAGGCACACAUCAAGUAGUUGCCGUCAAGGGUAAAAAGAUGGGGUUUUUAUCAUUGGUUUGAGAUUAUCCCUCUACAUCAUGUCAUCUUGCUUAAGGCGUUACUCUGUUCUUGUGGACUUAACACACUAGGUGCAUGAUGGAUAGCGGUCGACGUCUGGAUUAAUAGUAGUAGAUGCAGACAGUAUCGGACUACUUGUUUUGGACGUGAUGCCUACAGAAAUAAUCAUUGCAUAGAUAUCGUCAGGACUUUGCGCGGUUCUAUGAAUUGCUCGACAGUAAUUUGUUCACCCACCGUCUACUUGCUUUCAUGAGAGAAGCCACUAGUAAACACUAUGACCCUCGGGUCUAUUCACAUCCAUCGUUUACAUCUCCGCUUUUACUUUGCUUUGUUACUUUGUUGCUUUCAGUUCUCACUUGGCAAACAAUCUAUAAGGGAUUGACAACCCCUUCAUAGUGUUGGGAGCAAGUUUUUGUGUUUGUGCAGGAUCUGAGAUACUCCUCCACUGGAUUGAUACCUUGGUUCUCAAACUGAGGGAAAUACUUACCAUCGCUACGCUACAUCACCCUUUCCGCUUUGAGGGAACACCAACUCAAGGCUCCAAGGCCACGGGGGAAAUCCUUUGCAUACUUUCCUAGGAAGUCCCUUAAGGCGUAGCCGCAGCAUGAAGAUCAAGCCAAGUAUUCUCCCGUCGACGUGCCUAUUUCUGGCGCCGUUGCCGGGGAUACACAGCUGACAUCAGAAUUAUUUCUGGCGCCUUUGGAAGGUCUUUUGUUGCAGUAGCAGAAGUAUUUCUGGCGCCGUUGCCGGGGAGGAUAAAUCAAGAUCUAUCCAAGUAGGUCUCACAAACUCAUCUCCUACAUCUACUUUUGUUGCCAGUUGCCUCUCGUUUUCCUCUCCCCCACUUCACAUUUGCCGUGUUCAUUUGCCUUUUUCCGUUCGCCCUUCUUCCGCUCGCUUUCUUUUUGCUUGUGUUACCAUGUGCCUUCUUUUAGCUUGCAUCUUUGCUUGCUAAAAAUCCAUUGAUAUGGAUCCUCAUCCACUAGCUAGUCUCUUUAAGAGACCCACUAUUGUUGAACGAAUUGCUAGUGAGUUGAGGACACUUGACUAUCUUUAUGGACUUUUGCUUGAGAGGCGUGAAUCUGAAAAUCGUGAUGAAGAAAUUCAUGAAGUGAUUCACGAGGGCUCCUUGGAUGAAAAGCAUGAAUGCAAUGAUUUCACUAUAAAUCCUAUUAGUGAAAAUCAUGCUAAAAAUAUGCAAAACCCUAAGCUUGGGGAUGCUAGUUUUUCUAUGUCCCCUAGUUGUUGCAAUAAUCAUGAUUGGGGUGAUGAUCUUUCUUAUGAUCUUGAAAAUUUGUUCAAACCUCAUGAUGAAUAUGAUAUUUGCAACAAUACUGAAAGUGGGAUUGGAGAAGUCAUGACUUUAUUUGAUGAUAAUCCCACUAUUUUUGAAGAGCGUCAACUUUGCAUGCAUGUGGAUCAUGAAAAGAAUAUCCUAUGGGAUAGCUAUAUUGUUGAAUCUGAAUAUGAUCCCACAUGUAAUUGCCAUGAGAGAGGAAAAUAUUUUGGUAGAAACUUCCAUGUUACCAAAUCACCUCUCGUGAUGUUGAGAUUGCUCUUGUCUCUUUCUUCUUCCUUGCAUAUGGCAACUAUUGGUUGUCUUGACAAUCUGUUUUCCUAUCAAAUGCCUAUGCAUAGGAAUUAUGUUAGACUUUUAUGUGAUUUUCACAUGCUUUAUGAUGCUCUCGUUGUGCUUCAAUUCUUGUCUUUUGUGUGAGCAUCAUCAAUGCCUAGCUAAGGGCGUUAAACAAAAGCGCUUGUUGGGAGGCAACCCAACGAAUUUAUCCUUUUUUUUCUGUUUUGUGUUUUCCACACUUUCAUAAUUCUGUUAUGAUUGUGUUUUUUGUGUUUCUUUUUGCGUUUGUGCCAAGCAAAACCGUUAUGAUUAGUCUUGGGGAUGAUCGUUUGGUCAUGCUGGAAAAGACAGAAACUUUCUGCUCACGAAAAUAAUUUUCAUUUCUUUUUAUCUAAGAGCUUUUGAGUUGAUUCUUUUUGCUGCUGAUUUCUACGAGAAUUCUUAAGACUGUCGUAAUUGUUCAGAAUUUUUGAAGUACGAUAGGUAUACGAAAUAUACAGAUUGCUACAGACUGGUCUACUGUUAACAGAUUCUGUUUUUGUUGUGUUGGUUGCUUAUUUUGAUGAAACUAUGGAUAGUAUCGGGGGGUAUUAGCCAUGGAAGAUUGAAAAUACAGUAACCCAACAUCAGCACAAGUAGAAAUUAAGUUUGCUACAGUACCUAAGGAAGUGGUGGUUUGCUUUCUUGUACUAAUGUUAUCACGAGUUUAUGUUUAAGUUUCGUGUUGUGAAGUUUUCAAGUUUUGGGUGAAGUUCUUAUGGACAAAAAGAUAAAGUGUGGCAAGAGCUCAAGCUUGGGGAUUCCCAAGGCACCCCAAGAGAUUCAAGGAUGCCGUAAAAGCCUAAGCUUGGGGAUGCCCCGGGAAGGCAUCCCUCUCUCAUCUGCAAUUCAUCGGUAACGUUACUUGGGGCUAUAUUUUUAUUCACCACAUGUUAUGUGUUUUUUCUUGGAGCGUCUUGUAUCGUAGGAGUCUUUUAUUUUUGUUGUUUCACAAUCAUCAUUUCUGCAUGCCUAGAGAGAGAGACAUGCACACACCGUGAUUUUGUCGAGCUUCACUUAUAUCUUUUGGGUAGACAAUUCAGCUCACAUGUGCUUCACUUAUAUCUUUUGAGCUAGAUACUUUUGCUCUAUGUGCUUCACUUAUAUCUUUUAGAGAACAGCGGUGCAUGGCUUGGUAGUUGAUCUAUGAUUUGAAUGUAGUCUCAAAAGGGGUAGUUAUCCAAAGGGAUACGAAAACUUCCACGUUCAUGUGCAUUGAAUAGUUAGAGAAGUUUGAUUCAUCUCAAUUAGUUUUGAGUUGUGGUUAUGGUAAUAUUAAAGUCAUGCUAGUAAGGUGUUGUGGAUCUAGAAAUACUUGUGUUGAAGUUAGUGAUUCCCGUAGCAUGCACAUAUGGUGAACCACUAUGUGAUGAAAUCUGAGCAUGAUUAGUCUAUUGAUUGUCAUCCUUUGCGUGGCGGUCGGGAUCGCGCGAUGGUUUAUACCUACCAACCCUUCCCCUAGGAGUAUGCGUUGAAUGCUUUGUUUCGAUUACUAAUAAAACUUUUGCAACAAUUAUAUGAGUUAUUCAUGACUAAUGUUGAGUCCAUGGUUUAGAUGCACUUUCACCUUCCACCAUCACUAUCUGCUUAGUGCUGUGCAACUUUCGCCGGUGCACAAAACCCACCAUUAGCCUCCCUCAAAACAGCCACCAUACCUACCUACUAUGUCUUUUUCAAAGUCAUUCCGAGAUAUAUUGCCAUGCAACUACCACCAUGACAUGUGCCACCACGUCUACAUUGCCAUUGCAUGAUCGUAAGAUAGCUAGCAUGAUGUUUCCAUUGAUGUUUAUGCCAUGCUAGAUCAUUGCCACGGUACACUACCGAAGGCAUUCCAUAUAGAGUCAUCAUUACUCUAAGUUUUGAGUUGAAAGUGUGAUGAUCAUCAUUAAUGGAGCAUUGUCCCAUGUGAGGAAAUAAAAGAGGCCAAAGAAGCCCACCAAAAAAAAGAGGCCAAAGAGCCCACCAAAAUAAAAAUAAAAAAGAGAGAAAAAGAGAGAAGGGACAAUGCUACCACUUUUUCCACACCUGUGCAUAUUAAGCACCAUGAUCUUCAUGAUUGAGAGUCUCUCGUUUUGUCACCACCAUAUAGCUAGUGGGAAAUUUUCAUUAUAUAACUUGGCUUGUAUAUUCCGAUGAUAGGCUUCCUCAAAAUUGCCUUAGGUCUUCGUGAGCAAGCAAGUUGGAUGCACACCCACUAGUUUUCUUUAAGAGCUUUCACAUACUCAUAGCUCUAGUGCAUCAACUGUAUGGAAAUCCCUACUCAUUCACAUUGAUAUCUAUUGAUGAGCAUCUCCACAGCUCAUUGAUAUGCCUAGUUAAUGUGACUAUCUUCUCCUUUUUGUCUUGCAACCUCCAUCACAUUCCACACCAUCUAUAGUGUUAUAACCAUGGCUCACGCUCAUGUAUUGCGUGAGAGUUGAAAAGGUUUGAGAAAGUAAAGGUGUGAAACAAUUACUUGGCCAAUACUGGGGUUGUGCAUGAUUUAAAUUCAUUGUGCAAUGAUGAUAGAGCAUAGCCAGACUAUAUGCUUUUGUAGGGAUAACUUUCUUUUGGCCUUGUUAUUUUGAAAGUUCAUGAUUACUUUGCUAGUUUGCUUGAAUUAUUAUUGUUUCCACAUCAAUAGCAAACUAUUGUUUUGAAUCUAAUGGAUCUGAACAUUCACGUCACAUAACAGGAAUUACAAAGGACACCUAUGCUAGGUAGCUUGAAAGAAUCAAAAAUUCAUUCUUAUCACUUCCCUACUCGAGGACGAGUAGGAGUUAAGCUUGGGGAUGCUUGAUAAGUCUCAAAUGUAUUUAUAAUUUUUGAUGGUUUCACGCUGUUAUCUUGUCUUCUUUGGUUGUUUUAUGUACCUUUUAUAUCUUUCUUGGGACUAACUUAUUAAUUCAGUGCCAAGUGCCAGUUCCUGUUUUUUCCGUGUUUUUGACUCUUUUGAGAUCUGAUUUUGGAACGGAGUCCAAACGGAAGAAAAAUCCCGAAAUGAUUUUUUCCCGAACGGAAGAAAAUCAGGGGGCCUUUGGGACAAGCCACGUGGGCUCGAGGGAGCCCACAAGCCCCCACUCCGCCACCAAGGGGGAGGCGGCGGUGGGCAGGCUUGUGGCCUCCCUGGCCGCCCCCUGACCUAGGUCUUUGCUCUAUAAAUUCCAAAGUAUUCCGCAAAAAACCAGGGGAGCCUUGAAAAUACUUUUCUGCCGCCGCAAGCUUCCGUUUUCGCGAGAUCUCAUCUGGAGACCCUUCCCGGCACCCUGCCGGAGGGGAAUUUGGAGUUGGAGGGCUUCUUUAUCAUCAUCAUUGCCCCUCCAAUGACUCGUGAGUAGUUCACUUCAGACCUACGGUUCCGUAGUUAGUAGCUAGAUGGAUUCUUCUCUGUCUUGGAUCUUCAAUACAAAGUUCUCCAUGAUCUUCAUGGAGAUCUCUCCGAUGUAAUCUUCUUUGGCGGUGUGUUUGUCGAGAUCCGAUGAAUUGUGGAUUUGUGAUCAGAUUAUCUAUGAUAUUUGUUUGAAUCUUUGCUAAUUUAUUAUAUGCAUUAUUUGAUAUCCUUGUAAGUCUCUCCGAGUCUUGGGUUUUGUUUGGCCAACUAGAUCUAUGAUUCUUGCAAUGGGAGAAGUGCUUGGUUUUUGUUCUGCCAUGUGGUGAACUUUCCCAGUGACAGCAGGGGCAGCAAGGCACACAUCAAGUAGUUGCCAUGAAGGGUAAAAAAAUGGGGUUAUUAUCAUUGGAUUGAGAUUAUCCCUCUACAUCAUGUCAUCUUGCUUAAGGCGUUACUCUGUUCUUAUGGACUUAAUACACUAGAUGCAUGCUGGAUGGCGGUCGACGUGUGGACUAAUAGUAGUAGAUGCAGACAGUAUCGGUCUACUUGUUUUGGACGAGAUGCCUAUAGAAAUAAUCAUUGCAUAAAUAUCGUCACGACUUUGCGCGGUUCUAUCAAUUGCUCGACAGUAAUUUGUUCACCCACCGUCUACUUGCUUUCAUGAUAGAAGCCACUAGUAAACACUACGGCCCCCGGGUCUAUUCACAUCCAUCGUUUACAUCUCCGCUUUUACUUUGCUUUGUUACUUUGUUGCUUUCAGUUCUCACUUGGCAAACAAUCUAUAAGGGAUUGACAACCCCUUCAUAGUGUUGGGAGCAAGUUUUUGUGUUUGUGCAGGAUCUGAGAUACUCCUCCACUGGAUUGAUACCUUGGUUCUCAAACUGAGGGAAAUACUUACCAUCGCUACGCUACAUCACCCUUUCCGCUUUGAGGGAACACCAACGCAAGGCUCCAAGGCCACGGGGGAAAUCCUUUGCAUACUUGCCUAGGAAGUCCCUUAAGGCAUAGCCACAGCAGGAAGAUCAAGCCAAGUAUUCUCUCGUCGACGUGCCUAUUUCUGGCGCCGUUGCCGGGGAUACACAACUGACAUCAGAAGUAUUUCUGGCGCCGUUGGAAGGUCUUUUGUUGCAGUAGCACAUGUCAAUCAAUGAAACCAGUCUUUCGUAAGCAUAUGAAUAAUGUCGGUCCGGGCCGCUUCAAUCCAACAAUACCGCCGAAUCAAGAAAAGACUAAGGAGGGCAGCAAAUCGAACAUCACAGUCCACAAAACCCUUUGUGUUCUACUAGAGAUAACAUCUACGCAUGAACCUAGCUCAUGAUGCCACUGUUGGGGAACAUUGCAUGGGAAACAAAAAAUUUCCUACAAACAUGAAGACCUAUCAUGGUGAUGCCCAUCUAAGAGAGGAGAUUUGGAUCUACGUACCCUUGUAGAUCGCAUAGCAGGAAGUGGUAAGAAACACGGUUGAUGUAGUGGAACAUCCUCACGUCCUUCGAUCCGAUCUAGUGCCGAACGGACGACACCUCCGCGUUCAGCACGCGUACAUCUCAAUGAUGAUCUCGGCCUUCUUGAUCCAGCAAGCAAGAUGAAGAAGUAGAUGAGUUCUCUGGCAGCGUGACGACGCUCCGGUGGUGGUGACGAUCUAAUCUUACAUGGCUCCGCCCGAGCUCUGCAGAAAUACAAUCUAGAGGAAGAACUAUGGUGUCUAGAUCUGAGUUGCACGGGGCAAAAGUUGACUCAAAUCAGCCCUAGACCACCACUAUAUAUAGGAGGGAGGGGGAGGAGGCUUUCCUUGAGGUCGAAGCCCUCAAGGGUGCACCGGUCAAGGGAGAGGAGGAGUCCUACUCCAAUCCUACUCCAAUUAGGAUUGGAAACUAGAGUCCUUCUCUUCCUUCCCACCUCUUUUUUUUGCUUUUAUUUGGUUUUAUUUCCUUGGUGCCAAGACCCUCUUGGGUUGUCCCACCAGCCCACUAAGUGCUGGUGCGCCACCCCUAAGGCCAUUGGGCUUCCCCCGGGUGGUUGCCCCCUUCCCGGUGAACUUCCAGAACCCAUUCGUCACUCCCGGUACAAUCUCGGUAAUGCCCGAAAACCUUCCGGUAACCAAAUGAAGUCAUCCUAUAUAUCAAUCUUCAUUUCCGGACAAUUACAGAAACCCUCGUGACGUCUGUGAUCUCAUCCGGGACUUCGAACAACAUUCGGAAACCACACAUAUAACUCAACUAUAGUAAAACAUCGCCGAACCUUAAGAGUGCAGACGCUGCGGGUUCGAGAACUAUGUAGAAAUGCCCCGAGGUACUCCUCGGUCAAUAUCCAAUAGAGGGAACUGGAUGCCCAUAUUGGAUCCUACAUAUUCUCCGAAGAUCUUAUCGGUUGAACCUCAGUGUCAAGGAUUCAUAUAAUCACGUAUAUCAUUCCCUUUGUCCUUCGGUACGUUACUUGCCCGAGAUUCGAUCGUCGGUAUCUGCAUACCUAUUUCAAUCUCGUUACCAGCAAGUCUCUUUACUCAUCCGUAAUACAAUAUUCCGUGACUUACACUUAGUCACAUUGCUUGCAAGGCUUGUGUGUGAUGUUGUAUUACCGAGUGGGCCCCGAGAUACCUCUCCGUCACACAGAGUGACAAAUCCCAGUCUUGAUCCAUACUAACUCAACGGACACCUUUGGAGAUACCUGUAGAGCACCUCUAUAGUCACCCAGUUACGUUGUGAUGUUUGAUGCACACAAGGUAUUCCUCCGGUGCCAGUGAGUUAUAUGAUCUCAUGGUCAUAGGAACAAAUACUUGACACGCAUAAAACUAUAGCAAUAAAACGACACGAUCAAUAUGCUACGUUCAUAGUUUGGGUCUUGUCCAUCACAUUAUUCUCCUAAUGAUGUGAUCCCGUUAUCAAGUGACAACACUUGUCUAUGGUCAGGAAACCUUGACCAUCUUUGAUUAUAGCUAGUCAACUACAGGCUUACUAGGGACAUUGUUUUGUCUAUGUAUCCACACAUGUAUUUGUGUUUCCAAUCAAUACAAUUAUAGCAUGGAUAAUAAACGAUUAUUAUGAACAAGGAAAUAUAAUAAUAACUAAUUUAUUAUUGCCUCUCGGGCAUAUUUCCAACAGUCUCUCACUUGCACUAGAGUCAAUAAUCUAGUUCACAUCACCAUGUGAUUUUAACGAAUCCAACACCCAUAUAGUUCUGAGGUCUGAUCACGUCUUGCUCGUGUGAGAGGUUUUACUUAACGGUUCUGAAACUUUCAGAUCCAUGUGUGCUUUACAAAUCUUUAUGUCAUCUUAUAUAAACGGUCUACUUGUCUUGGUGUACUUCGCAUUACUAUUGAACCUCUAACUAUCAAGGAGCAUAAUUAGCAUUGCGGUGCGAUCAUAAUUCUGCCAGUUUCCCAACUGUGAUUUGUUUAGCCUAGAAUAGUUGUUUAUUGUCUCUUGGGAGAGAUACAUCACUAGUGAACAUCAUGUGACUCCUGUCCAUAUCACCAUCAUUGCUUACACCUCCACUAUUUACCGCUUUCUUUACUUUUCUGUUGCAAUCACUAUUUCCUUCCCGCUUGUGUUUUAAUCCUUUGGGAACUACAAGGCCGAAGAGAUUGACAACCUCUCUGUACUCGUUGGGAGCAAAGUUAUUUGUUUUGUGUGCAGGUCCACGUCUUGUGCUAGCGCCAGGGUGGAAGACACCUACUUGUUGGUCUAGGAGUCCUCCUGGUUCAAUAAACCUUACAGUCUCUGUGUGAGGGAAAACUUGCUGCUCACUACAUCUCAACCUUCCACUUGGGGUAACCAACAAGGAGCGAGAAGUAUAUACAUCAUCUUGUCAUCAAGCUAAGUUUUCUAGCGCCGUUGCCGGGGACUCCAGUCUUCAAGAAAGGGGAGUUGCAUACUAUCUUUUACCUUUGCUUUUUCGCCUUGUUAGUUUGCUUUCUAAUUUUUUCUUUAGAGUCAUAUACCAAAAACCACAAAAAAAUUAGUUGCUUUGUUUUUGCUUGUUGCUGCUGCUAUGGGUUCCACUGAGAACACCAAGUUGUGUGACUUCACUAGUCACAACAAUAAUGACUUUAUCUACACACCUAUUGCUGCUCCCGCCACUGAGGCCACGUCCUAUGAGAUUAAACCCGCUUUGCUGAACCUAGUUAUGAAAGAUCAAUUAUCCGGUGCUGGAGAUGAUGCUGCCUUGCACUUGAACAAUUUUGUUGAGCUCUGUGAUAUGCAAAAAUAUAAAGAAGUAGAUGGUGAUUUUGUUAAACUUAAGCUUUUUUCCUUUCUCCUUGAGAGGAGGAGCUAAAGUGUGGCUUCAAUCUUUGCCUAGGAAUAGCAUAGAUUCUUGGGAUAAGUGCAAAGAUGCUUUUGUUGGCAAGUAUUACUCGCGUGCUAAGAUUAUCCAAGUGAGGAGUAACAUUAUGAAUUUUAGGCAAUUGGAUAAUGAACAUGUUGCUCAAGCUUGGGAACGUAUGAAAUCUCUUGUUAAGAAUUUCCCUACUCAUGGUUUGACUACUUGAAUGGUUAUCCAAACUUUCUAUGCAGGAUUGAACUUUACCUCACGGAAUCUGUCAGACUCGGCCGCGGGAAGAACUUUUAUGUAAACUACAAUUGGUGCUGCCACAAAGCUAUUGGACGAGAUGAUGACAAAUUAUUCUCAAUGGCACACCGAGAGAGCUCCAACAAGCAGGAAGGUAAACUCUGUUGAGGAGAUGUCCUCCCUUAAUGAUAAGGUUGACAUGAUCAUGACUCUACUUAGUAAGCAAGCUCCUAUUGAUCCUCAUGAUGUUUCUUUAAAUUCUUUGGUUGCUCAAGAAAGAGAUAAAGUGGACGUUAAUUUUAUUUCUAGGAACAACUUCAAUAACAAUGCUUAUAGGAGUAAUUCUGGUAGCAAUCCUAGACCGUUCCCAUCCAACAACUAUGGGAACAACAACAAUUAUCCUAGCACAAAAAACUCCACUUCUGAAUUAGAGAGCAUGCUUAAAGGUUUUAUCACUUUCAAAAAGCCAUCAACAAGAGUGUAGAAGUGAAACUAGAAAAAUUAGAUGGUCUCUCUUUGAAGGUGGAUAACAUAGCUCAUGAUGUAGAGAUGCUUAAAAUUAGAACUUCCCCACUUGAGGAGAGGAACACGACACCCAUGAAUGCUAUCCAAGUCCAAAUUAAUGUGAACAUAAUAAUGCUAGCCAAACUUAAAGAUAGAUGGGCUAGAGAAAAGGAAGAGGAAAAUAGAAUUAAGAGCCUUCCUACACACGCUACCAUUGCUAUUAUACAAGUUGUUGAGGAAAAGAGAAUUAAGAGCCUUCCUACACACACUCCUAGUCCCAAUGGACCUAUUAAUGGUGAUGCUAAUACCUCAACUAUAGGACAAAAAGGGUCUAUGAAUUUAGAGACUACCAAAAGAAUGAGUUUAUAUGACAUUACUACCACUUUAAUUAAUGAUAGUAACGUUGAUUUUGACAAUUAUAGUCUCUCCGAAGUUAUCACCUUUUUGCAAAGAAUGGCUAAAGACCCCCACACUAGUACACUAAAUAUUGCCUUCACCGAGCAUAUUAGCAAUGCUCUUAUCAAAGCUAGGGAGAAGAAGCUCAAGAUAGAGACUUCUAUUCCUAUAAAACAAGAAGAUGGUUGGGAUCCUAUGGUCAAAAUUAAAUUGAAUAAUAUCUCUUGCUUUGCAUUGUGUGAUGUUGGAGCUAGUGCUUUCGUUAUGCCGAAAAGAAUGUAUGAUAUGAUUGAUUGGAAAACUUUUGAUCCAUGUUAUUUUGGUGUUCGUCUUGUUGAUUCUUCCAUAAAGAAACCUUUAGGGAUAAUUUAUGAUGUGCUUAUUAUUGUCAAUGAUAAUUAUGUGCCCGUUGAUUUUCUUAUUAUGGACACUGAAUGUGAUCCUUCAUGUUCAAUUAUUUUGGGACGUCCUUCUCUCUGCACCGUUGGUGUUAUCAUUGACAUGAAAGAGGGAAUUAUUAAAUUCCAAUUUCAUCUUAAAAGGGAAUGGAACAAUUCCCUAGAAAGAAUAUUAAGUUACCUUAUGAGUCCGUUACACGGACAAGCUAUUCUUUUGGAGUUGAUAACACUUGAUCUUCUUGCAUUGUGCCUAGCUCAAAGGCAUAAAAGAAAGCGCUUGUUGGGAGGCAACCCAAUAUGUUUUUACUUUGUGUUUUAGUGGUCUUUAUGUGUAUUACUACUUUAGCAACAUCAUCGUAUCUUUAUUUUUGAGCUUUGUGCGAAGUUAUAGCCUCCAAUUGCAAGAAACAUCAAGAAUUGUGACAUGUUGUCCAGAGACAGAUUUUGUCUACUUGACGGACAAAUUCGCCAAAAAUCACAAUAUCAUCUGUUUGAUCUAAAUUGUUUUGAUAGCAUGCUCUAUACAAUUUCCUUUCUGGCAUCUGUUCUGAGUUUUUUGAUUUGAGUUGCAGAAGUGCCCCGAAUAAAUUAUUUACUACCUCAUGUUCUGUUUUUCACAGAUUCUGCCAUGUUUUGUGUUUUCAUUGUUUUGCGAAUCGUAAGCUUGCUUUUUUAUUUGCAGAAAUCUUUUAGCAUUCAUGAGAAGUAGUAGCUUUUCAUGAAAAUCUUUAUUUCCAGCAGGUAAUGAAUUAUUUUAGUAAAGGAACUAACCACUCUAAUCAGCUUAUGAUGAGUUUUGUAUGAAGGGAGUUUUCAAGUAUGCGAUGGGAGAGAUGAUGAAAGAAGAUAAAGGAGUGUCAAACGCUCAAGCUUGGGUAUGCCCCCAUGCAUCCCAAAAAAUAUUCAAGGAGAAUCAAGCGUCUAAGCUUGGGCAUGCCCCCGUGCAUCCCCUUCUCUAUCAACAAUCAUCAAGUCGUCCAUCUCCAUGCUAUAUUUUUAUCACUUCAUAUGAUAUGUGCUAUGCUUGGAGCGUCCCGCUAUGUUAUUUUUAGUUUGUUUUAGUUUUUCUUGCUCUUCAUAACAAGUCGGAACCUAUCCUACCUUGUUUGGGAGAGAGAGACACUCCAUUACACUCUAGAACACAACAUAGGUUUUCAUACUUAUCUUUUUUGUGUGUUCUUCAUCUUUUCAUAGCUAUUGUCAUGCUUAGUUCUUAGUUUUCAUGCUUAUCUUUUUAAGAGAUUUUAUUUAGGUUGAUUUUGGAACUAUCUUGAGUUAUCAUGCUUAUCUUGUUUAGAGAGUUGGCUCCUUGCACUGAGUUGUGUGUCUUGCAUGAGUAGGUAACUUAGGUUGCUAUUGAAGUAUAGUAGUAACUUGCAAUAGGUUUGAGGUAUUGAUUUAAGUAAUGUUUGGACUAUUGGUGCCAAGAGCUUGAGCCUGUUAGUGAUAGGUGUCGUAUUUUGAGAAAUCCGUGUGUUUUUCCAAAACUAAAACUUAGUUGAGAACUCUAGCUACUAACUUGAUCGCUAACCUCUCGAGGGGUUGGAAUAUAUAGAGUACCCUCACGUUACCAUGAGUCGAGGAUGCGCAAGGAUAACCAAACCCCCAAACAUUACUCCUCGGGGUACAUAUCUCUUUGAGAAUUUCCGAACUAGAUAGAGUUACCGAUAAUAAGUGUAUGAGUUCUUCGGACUAAUGUGACUAUUGGAUUGUUGGCACUUCCACCAUCCAUAUUUCAGUAGCCUCUUCGGUAUCGUGCAUUGCCCUUUCUCACAUUCAUAGUUGGUGCAAACUCCGUCGGUGCAUCUAAACCCAUGACAUGAUACGCUCUGUCAUACAUAAGCCUCAUUAUAUCUUUACUCAAAAUAGCCACCAUACCUACCUAUUAAGGCAUUUCCAUAGCCUUUUCGAGAUACAUUGCCAUGUAACAUCCAUCAUCUCAUGACUUGAUUUUCAUGUCAUACAUGCUUUUGCUUGAUCAUAGAGUCGCAUGCUAAUUGGGCCUUGCCCUCAUUACUGCUACAUGACGCGCUAGUAUCAUUGCAUAUCCUGAUACACUGGCAGAGGCAUACAUUUUCAUACAUCAUGAUAGUUUUCAGUUGUCUUUAUGUUGAGUACUUCUUAUAAAGUGUGAUGAUUUUUCUUUUGUAUUCAUGUAAAACAUAGAGUGUUGCCCUUAAGUGAGGAAAAGAUCCCAAAGUGGACAAAACAAAAGAUCCCAAACAGGACAAAUGAGAGAUACAAAGAAAGAGCCAAAGAGGCCACACACAAAAAAGAGAAAUAAAAAGAGAGAAGGGGGCAACACUACUAUUCCUUUUGAAAGAUCCACACUUGUACUCCAUUACUAUAUUGGUACUACAUAGUGAUUAUCAUUCAUGCAUAACUAUGUGGGGAUCCUUACACUAUAGAACUUGGUUUGCAUAUUCCAAUGACGAGCCUCCUCAAAAGAGCUCUAGGUCUUCAUGAGCAAAAGAGUUGGAUGCACACCCACUAGUUCCAUUGGAGAGCUUACCUUAGCUCAUAUCUACAUCCCUUACAUGGCAAUCCCAACUCCUCACAUCAUAUCUAUCAUUUGGCUUUCUCUCGCCUAUGGUUGUCCUCAUUGAUGUGAGCCUUUCACACCUUUUUGUCUUCCUUCCCCAUCAUUAUUCUAUUUUCCAUCCUAAGUGCCGACAUAUCUUGCUUACUCUCAUUCAUUGCAUGAGUACUCAAAAUCGAACUUACGAUCAUUUUGACUUGUGCCUGACAAGUGGUCUGGGGAUGAGUCAGAAUAAGAUUCCAAAGGAGACUAAGUGUGAGGUUUAGUAGAUUGAGUUCUCAAUUAAAAAAUAUAUUUUAUCUCUGAACCCAUCUCCCACUUCUUGCACUCAAACACCAUUUGGAGACAUUCAAGUCACGGACAGCGAGAGCUCUUGCACCUUUAUGUUCUUACUUUGCUAAAUUAUAGACUCUUUCUUGUUAUUGUCUUGACUUGAAUUGCAUAUCUCACUGGCUUUACUUUGAAGUUCUUAUAUGUGUGUUAGCAUGUCAUGACAUAAAUUAUUGUGUUAUCAUUUAUCUACUCGAGGACGAGAAGAAAUUAAGCUUGGGGAUAUUGAUACGUCCCAAACGUAUCUAUAAUUUCUGCUUGUUCCAUGAUCAUUUGGGUGAUAUUGUUAUAUGUUUUGCCACACUUUUAUAUCAUUUUACACAUAUUUGGACUAACCUACUAACUCAGUGCACCCAGUGCCAGUUUCUAUCUGCUGAUGUCUUUUUUGCAGGGGCUUUUACCCAUCUUUCCGAAGCCCAAAAAAAUCCAUAAAAAUAUAAAAAAAAUCAGCGAAACAGAAGCUUCGGGAUCACCGAAGGGGGGCCAGGGGCCUCCCAGGCGGCCUGCUGGCACGGCUAGGCCCUAGGCCACGCCAGGGGGUUGCCUGGGUGGGUCCCACCUCCUCCGGUGCCCUCCUUUGGCCUAUAUUUAGAGAUCCGUGAGGAAACCCUCGUAGACUUUCUGGAAUGGCGAAUUUCUCCAUCGUUCCGCCGCCUUAGCGCUUUCGAGAUCGGGAGCGUCAGGAGACCUCUUCUCGGCAUCGUGCCGGAGGGAGGAUUGACCUCCGGGAGCUUCUCCACCACCAUGGAUGCUUACCGGAUGUGCCGUGAGUAGUUUCUCUUGGACCAUGAGUCCAUGACCAGUAGCUAUGUGAUAUCUUCUCUCCAAUCUUGUGCUUCAGUGGUUAGUCCUUGUGAGCUUCCCUACAUGAUCAAGGCAUCUAUGUAAUUCUCUUGAUAUUGCUAUGCUCGGUUUGUUGGGAUCCGAUAGAUUAUGAGAUUAUGUUCAGAUUGUUAUGAGUUAUAUAUUUGAUUAUUCUUUUAUAUUUUGUUCCUUAGUGAUUCAUGCAUGUUCUCCGUUGCUUUUUAUUGCUUUGGCCAAGUAGUAGAUCGUAACUCCAAGAGGGAUUGUUAUGCAUCAUUGUCGGUUCGGGCCCCUCGAUGUCUAGCUUGAGUGACAGAAACAUGAGACUAGGGGAUGUGCUUGUUGCCACCAGGGAGAAAACAACGGUGCUUGUGACCACGUUUGCAAGGAUUGUUUACCUUACGCAUAGUUCGUUAAUGCAGUUGUCCGUUGCUUUGAGUAUACACUUUGGGUGGGGCUCGCAACUUAAUACCGGAGAGAUGUUCUGGAUAGAUAUCUCAAGGUGGAUUAUUAGUAAGUAGAUGCUGAUGAAUAAACGGUCUACUUCUCUUGGCAUUAUGCCCAUUUCUAUUGAACCUCUAACUAUCAAGGAGAAAAAUUAGCAUUGCGGUGCGAUCAUAAUUCUGUCAGUUACCCAACUGUGAUUUGUUUACCCUAGCAUAGUUGUUUAUCGUCUUUUGGGAGAGAUACAUCACUAGUGAACAUCGUGUGACUCCUAUCCAUAUCACUAUCAUUGCUUACACCUGCAGUAUUUACUGCUUUCUUUACUUUUCCGUUGCAAUCACUAUUACCUUCCCGCUUGUGUUUUUAUCCUUUGCAAACUACAAGGCCGGAGAGAUUGACAACCUCUUUGUACUCGUUGGGAGCAAAGUUAUUUGUUGUGUGUGCAGGUCCACGUCUUCUGCUAGCACCAGGGUGGAAGACACCUACUUGUUGAGCCUGGGAGUCCUCUUGGUUUGAUAAACCUUAGAGUUUCUUGUGAGGGAAAUUUGUUGCUGACUACAUCUCCACCUUCCAGUUGGGGUCCAACGAGGGGCGAGAAGUAUAUACAUCAACUUGUUAUCAUCGCCAUGCAGCCAUGCCCGCCUAGCCAUCAAGCUCUGCUGGCCACCUCUCUUGUUGAAGCGUCGUCGCGCACAUGCUCGCCUUGAACCGCGUCAUUGUAUCCUCCUUGCUGCCGAUUAGUUGUCUAGUGUGUAGAUCGGUAGAAGCAACCUUCGCGCCUCCUCUGCUCUUGCCCUUCGACAUGGCACCCCACUACAGCUUUGGACCCCCGCCACGCAAAGUUGUGGCAUGUUGCACUCUGAUGUGUUGUCAGGCUCGAAGACAGAUUUGGAACAAAGGUGCCAAGGAUUCCCCGAGAUCGACGACUUUCAGGAUCGACUUACCCAGACGUCAAGUCACGCAAGACCCGAACCGCGGCGGCCGAUGCUUAGUACCGCUACGGUUGCCCUUGAAGUCCCGUGUACAUCUACCGCCCUUGAAGUCCCGUGUACCACUACUUCCACGAUGUCCACGAUGACCCAUGUACAACUACACCGCUAUGACUCAACCCACUCCGAGAGGCAUGCGUCAAUGGUAUUACCACCGAGACGAUACCCGUGGAUGAAUGCAUUGUUGUAUGAGAGGCGAUGUUUUCCAUUUCGUAGAUGCCAUGCAAGUUGCACAUUGUUCCUCUUUUGUCGUGCCCGGACACAUGGGAACCCGAUAACCGGGAUCACCCCAUAAUUCUUGGCAUGACACGCACACGCUCCCAAUUCGUUGGCACCGGUAUCUCAUCGAGUUAUCGGGACCGGAACAUUGUCGUGGCAUCGUUUCCGUUUUGCCGCCAUGGUUCCCUUUCGUCCGCCAUGUGGACACAUGCUUCGUAUCCUUCUUGCUAGUGUUUUCAUAAAAUUGCAUGCAUGUUGCAUUCCUGACAUAGUAUCCAGUGUUGCACGUAUCUUUUAAGCGUAACUCCAUUCAAUGUUCUUAUGUGUUAUCCAACUAGAAUGACAUGUAGAAUCACAUGCUUCACCUCUUGCCAUGUUUAAACAACAUUUAAUAUUGCCGUGUACCUAAAUGGGAGUGAACUAAAUAAUUCGUAUGUGGAGUUUCGUCAAUAUGCAACUCGUUGCAUGUUGAGCUUCACUUAAUGUGUAGUGUUGAUUGUUGUGAAUUGCCAGGGCAUGCAUCAUAUUAGGUUGUGCAUCAUAUCGUGCAUGUGUCGUGGUGAAUAUCAUCUGUUGAUUCUUGUUUCCGGUUUUCUUCGUCUCGAUAGAGUUCCACAAGCGUGUCCGAAUGUGAGGAUCCGCUCGACUACAUUGGUUCAUUUGCUUCACGGAUUCGUUCUUCUUCCAAGCAGGAUCUCAGGCAAGAUGACCAUUUCCCUAGAUACCAUUACUAUCAUUGCCAUGCUAGUUGUCUCAUUUCUUUGGCUAUGUCUCCCUGCCUACCACAUGUUUAAUAAGCCUACCAAGAUUGCCAUGAAGACUUUUAACCUUUCCACAACCUAGCAAACCACUGUUUGGCUAUGUUACCGCUUGCUUAACGUUUUGAUAGUGUUGCUAGUUGCAGGUGCAGUUGCUUCCAUGUGAAAACGUGGGUUCCUUGUUAUAUGACCAUAUCAUUGCUAAUUACUUUAAUGCAUAUAUAUAAUUGGUAAAAGGUGGAAGGCUUGGCCUUCUAGCCUGGUGUUUUAUUCCACCUUUGCCACCUUAGUUUUGGCUACCGGUUUUAUAUUCCAUAAUUGAGCGCUCCUAACACGCUCGACGUUGUUAUGGGGACCCCAUGAUAAUUCGUCUUGGUUAAAGAUUGUCUGGCAAGGCCGAACUUUGGUACUACAUUUUCCUAAUAACUAAUAAAUCGCAUAGGGACCCGCCGACACCCACAGAUAAUUAAUUAAACCCCGGGCCAGAACUCGUCAUGAGUGUUGGUCCAAACUAGAUCCGUUUGCGGGGCCAACCCAGGGCAACUCAGGAGAUUUUCUAUCAGGCCACCAUAAGCUCUUCUUAUCCGUCGUGUCCUGAGAAUGAGAUACGCGUCUCCUAUCGGGUUCGUAGACAUGUGGGAAGCCUUGCUGGACAUGUUUUACCUUUUACGAAAUAUCUUGUGUAUCGGGAUUCCGGUGAUGUUGUGGGCUAUCUCAGAGUUGAGGUUUUCCACUAAGGAAUCUGAGGAGAUUACGAGUUUCGUAAUCGAGGCUUUCUCAGCGUCUUGUGGUAAUUUGUGGUGGACUAGUUGGAGCAUCCGUGCACGGUUAAAUCUUUUGGAAAGCCAUGCCCGCGGUUAUGUGGCAAACUUGGAAACUUUGUUUAAUAUUCGGUUCUAGAUAACUUGAAGUAAGAUUAAUUAAAAUAUGCCAACUAUGUGCAUGAUGACCCACAAGUAUAGGGGAUCUAUCAUAGUCCUUUUGAUAAGUAAGAGUGUCGAACCCAACGAGGAGCAGAAGGAUCUGACAAGUGGUUUUCAGCAAGGUAUUCUCUGCAAGCACUAAAAUUAUCGGUAACAAGUAGUUGUGUGGUGAGAUGAUUCACAGGAAGUAGCAAGUAACAAAAGUAACAACGGUGCAACAAAGUGUCCCAAUUCCUUUUGUAGCAAGGGACAAGCCUGGACAAAGUCUUAUAGGAGGUAAAACGCUCCCGAGGACACAUGGGAAUUUCUGUCAACCUAGUUUUCAUCAUGUUCAUAUGAUUCGCGUUAGUUACUUUGAUAGUUUGAUAUGUGGGUGGACCGGCGCUUGGGUACUGCCAUUACUUGUACAAGCAUCCCACUUAUAAUUAACCCCUCUCGCAAGCAUCCGCAACUACGAAAGAAGAAUUAAGACAAAGUCUAACCAUAGCAUUAAACGAGUGGAUCCAAAUCAGCCCCUUACAAAGCAACGCAUAAACUAGGGUUUAAGCUUCUGUCACUCUAGCAACCCAUCAUCUACUUACUACUUCCCAAUGCCUUCCUCUAGGCCCAAAUAAUGGUGAACUGUUAUGUAGUCGACGUUCACAUAACACCACUAGAUGAAAAACAACAUACAACACAUCAAAUUAUCGAACGAAUACCAAAUUCACAUGACUACUUAUAGCAUGACUUAUCCCAUGUCCUCAGGAACAAAAGUAACUACUCACAAAGCAUAAUCCUAUUCAUGACCAGAGAGGUAAUGAAUGGCAUCAAGGAUCUGAACAUAUAAUCUUCCACCAAGUAAUCCAACUAGCAUCAACAACAAAGAGUAAUUAACACUACUAGCAACCUUACAAGUACCAAUCGGAGUCGCGAGACGGAGAUUGGUUACAAGAGAUGAACUAGGGUUUGGAGAUGAGAUGGUGCUGAUGAAGAUGUUGAUGGUGACGCGUACCCUUCGAUGAGAGGAGUGUUGGUGAUGACGAUUGGGACGAUUUCCCCCUCCGGGAGGGAAGUUUCCCCGACAGGAUCGUCCUGCCGGAGCUCUAGAUUUGUUCUGCUCAAGUUCCGCCUCGUGGCGGCGGAGAAUCCUCCGAAAAUUCUCCUCUUGAUAUUUUUUGGAACGAAACUAUUCUUGUAGCAAAAGGGGGGAGAUAGAGGGCCAAGUGGGAGCCCACAAGCCCCCUAGGCGCACCCAGGGGCGAGGCCGCACCUAGCAGGCUUGUGGCCUCCUACUUGCGCCCCUCUGGUACUUCUUCGUCCCAGUAUUUUUUUAUAAAUCCCAAAAAAAUUAUCGUUGAUUUUCACGGCUUUCGGAGUUGCGUAGAAUAGGUAUCUCAAACUUGCUCCUUUUUCAGGCCAGAAUUCCAGCUGCCGGCAUUCUCCCUCUUCAUGUAAACCUUGCAAAAUAAGAGAGAAAAGGCAUAAGUAUUGUACCGUGGAAUGUAAUAAUAGCCCAAAAAGCGAUAAAUAUCAACAUGAAAGCGUGAUGCAAAAUGGAUGUAUCAGUGCAUAACCGUGACUGUCUCUUUUGUGAGCUCCUUCUCCGAUUGAGGACACGGUGGGGUUAUGUCCGACAUAACUAGGUGUUUUAGAUCAUUCAUUUGAUCAUCAUUAGUUCACGUCCGUUAUACAUAGUUCCUCCCCCUCUCUUAUUCUUGUACUCGUAAGUUAGCCACUCAAAUAAAUGCUUAGUCGCUUGCUACAGCCUCACCACUUAAACAUACCUCACCCAUUAAGCUUUGCUAGUCUUGAUACCUUUGGAAACGAGAUUGUUGAGUCCCUCUGGCUCACACAUUACUACAACAACAGUUGCAGGUACAUGUAAAGAGUUACUCUGACGUGAGCAUGAGGAUUGUUCUAUUUGGAGUUUGUUCUUCUUCAUCAUCAUCGAUCUAGGAUGGGUACCAGGCCAACAGCCUAGGAUAGCAAGGAUGGGCGUUGUUCUUUUAUCGUUUGUUUUCGUCCGUAUUCGGACCCUGCUCUUCUACAUGGUGAUUGAAUAUGCUGAUGUAUUGAUGUGAUCUUAAUGUAGCUUGUGGCGAGUGUAAGCCAAUUCCAUAUAAUCAUCUCUUUAGUACAUGUACUUGUAAUAAUAUCCAUUUUUGCGAAACUACGAGAUGCGCUUCUAUCCUUGUCGAGGCCCCCGUGCAAAAAUAAGGAUAGGAUCGCAUCUUGGGCGUUAUAAUAUUAUAGUUCAUCAUGAAGCUAUUGUAGCUAGGUGGCAGUGACUGAAGAACUCUGUCAGUGACCGUCUCAGGCGGAAGCUCAACUCCCAGCCGAGUCAAACGGUUGUAGUACCCAUACAUUCUAAGUAUGUGCUCAGUGACAUAACUAUUCUCCUCCAUCUUCGAGGCAAAGAAUUUAUCGGGCAUUUUCUUGAAAAACAAAGAUGAACUCUUGGAACAUCUCAUAUGCUCCAUGACGUUCACAAAGCCUUUAAAGUACUAAUUCUAAGCCAUAUAGCAUGGCGCACUACACUAUCGAGUAGUCAUCAGCACGUGCCUGCCACACGUUCACAACGUCCACAUACGACAUUGGAGGGGGUGCCGUACCAAGCGGAGCAUCAAGGACAUAAACCUUUUUCGAAGUCGUGAGGAUAAUCCUCACAUUACGGACCCAGUCCGCAAAGUGACUUCCAUCAUCUUUCAGCUUAGCUUUCUCUAUGAACGCAUUAAAAUUCACGGGAGCUACUGCGUCAGCCAUUAUCUAUGACAUAAUUUGCAAAGACAACUUAGACUAUUAUUCAUGAUGAUGAGUUCAAUUAAUCAUAUUACUUAAGAACUCCCACUCAAAUCAACAUCCCUCGGGUUGUCUGAGAGUAACAUGAUCCAAAUCCACCAACCCAAGUCCAAUCAUCACGUGAGAUGAGGUGGUUUCAAUGGUGAACAUCUGCAUGUUGAUCAUAUCUAUUGUAUGACUCAUGUUCGACCUUUUGGUCUCUUGUGUUCCGAGGCCAUGUGUGUACAUGCUAGGAUCAUCAAGUUUAACCCAAGUGUUCUGCAUGUGCAAAACUGGGUUACACCCAUUGUAUGUGAACGCAUAGUCUAUCAGACCCGAUCAUCACAUGGUGCUUCGAAACAAUGAAGCUUCGGAGCGGUGCACUUAUCUUGAAAUUUGAGUGAGGAGUCAUCUUAUAAUGCUGCCAUGAUCCUAAGCAAAGUAAGAUGCAUAAAAGGAUUAACAUUACAUGCAAAUCAUAAAAGUGACAUGAUAUGGCCAUAAUCAUAUUGUGCUUUUGAUCUCCAUCUCCAAAACACCGUCAUGAUCUCCAUCAUCACCCGCAUGACACCAUGAUCUCUAUCAUCAUGAUCUCCAUCAUCGUGCCACCAUUGUUGUUGUUGCUCCAACUAUGCUUCUACAACUAUUGCUAACUCAUAGUGAUAAAGUAAAGCAAAAAGGCACAAAUUAAUUGAAUAGAACCCUAUGGCUCGUGCCGGUUGCCGUACUCAUCGACAUGCAAUUUGUGACAAUCUGUACAAAACAUGAUCAUCUCAUACAUCACACAUAUCUCAUCAUGUCUUUGUCCAUAUCAUAUCACAACACACCUUGCAUAAACAAGUUAGACGUCCUUUACUUUAUUUUUGCAUGUUUUACAUGGCUUCUAUGGGUAACUAGCAAGAACCGUUCUUACCUACGCAAAUCCACAACGGUGAUAUUCAAGUUGCUAUUUAACCUUCUACAAGGACCGCCUCUGUUGAAUUUGAUUCAAAUAAAGUGGUAGAGAUAGACACCCUCCAGCCAUAUUUAUGCAACAAGUUGCAUGCGAGCCGAUGGAACCGGUCUCUCGUACGUGGACAAGAAACGCUUGUCCGGGCCGCUUCAUCCCACAAUACCGCUGAAUCAAGAUAAUAAUAAGGAAGUAAGAAAUCUGAACAUCAACGCCCACAAACACUUUCUGUUCUACUCAUUCAUGUUAUUUAUGCGUAGACCUAGAUCAUGAUGCCACUAUUGGGGAACGUUGCAUGGGAAACAAAAAAAAUCUUACAUGCACCCAAGAUCAAUCUAUGGAGAUGAACAGCUACAAGAGGGGAAUUGCAUGUGCAUACCCUUGUAUAUCGCUAAGAGGAAGCGUUAAGAAACGCGGUUGAUGUAGUCGAACGUCUUUGCGAUCCAAUCACGAUUUGUCCCGCGAUAUAAUCACGAACGUCCCAAUCAAGUGUCGAAAGGACAACACCUCUGUUCAACACUUACAGCUCGAUGGCGCCUUCACCUCCUUGAUCCAGCAAGCGAAGGUGAAGUUGUAGCUUGAGUUCCCCGGCAGCACAACGAAGUGGUGGCAGUGGCAGUGGAGCUGUCCCGACAUGGCUUCGCCAAGCGGUGCCGCGAUAGAACGAGAGAGGAACUACGAGAGAGAGAGAAGGGCUGCGCCCUGGCUUUUUCAGGUGCGGGUGCCAUCCCUCUCCUCUAGUAUAUAUAAGGGGAAGGGAGGAGGGUGGUGCCCUAGGAUUUCCCCUAGGAUGGGGCACGACCACCAAGGUGGCUUGGCACCCAAGUUAGGUGGCUUGGCACCUCUGGGCCAUCCGACCUCCUUGGCCCCAUGGGCCUUAGGUGGGAGGGGCGGCGAGCACAUCAGAAUCUGGUCCGCCACCUCUCACAACCCAUGGGGCCCUCCGGGGCUGGUGGACCCUCCUGGUGGACCCCAGGAACUCUUGUGUAACCCCCGGAUCUCAUCUGGGACUUUGAACAACCUUCGGUCACCAACACAAUAGCUCAACUACAUCUAUAUCAUCAACAAAUUUUAAGUGUGCAGACCCUGCGGGUUCGAGAACUAUGUAGACAUGACCGAGACACCUGUACGGUCAAUAACCAAUAGCGGGACAUGGAUGCCCAUAUUGGUUCCUACAUAUUCUAUGAAGAUACUUAUCGGUUGAACCACGAUGUGAAGGAUUCAACUAAUCCCGUAUGGAGUUCCCUUUGUCCAUUGGUAUCUUAGUCGCCCGAGAUUUGAUUGUCCGUAUCUCCAUACCUAGUUCAAUCCCAUUACCGGUAAGUCUCUUUACUCGUUCCGUAAUACAAGAUCCCAUUAUUAACUCCUUAGUCACAUUUCUUGCAAGCUUAUUGUGAUGUUGUAUUAUCGAGUUAGCUUUGAGAUACCUCUCCGUCAUACGGAGUGACAAAUCCCAGUCUUGAUCCAUGCCAACUCAACAUACACCCUCUGAGAUACAUGUAGAGCAUAUUUAUAAUCACCCAGUUAUGUUGUGACGUUUGAUACACACAAGGCAUUCCUUCUGUGUGAGGGAGUUGCAUGAUCUCAUGGUCAUAGGAACAGAUACAUUAACAUGCAGAAAGCAAUAGUAGCAAACUUUAUAUGAUCAGAUGAUAUGCUUACGGUUUCGGUCUUGUCCAUCACAUCAUUAUCCUAAUGAUGUGAUCCCAUUAUCAAAUGACAACUCAUGUCUAUGUCUAGGAAACCUUAGCCAUCUUUAAUCAACGAGCUAGUCUAGUAAAGGCUUACUAGGGACACCUAGUUGUCUAUGUAUCCACACACGCAUUUGAGUCUCUAAUCAAUACAAAUAUAGCAUGGAUAAUAAACGAUUAUAAUGAACAAGAAAAUAUAAUAAUAAUCACUUUAUUAUUGCCUCUAUGGCAUAUUUCCAACAGCCUGGGGUCAUGUGGGCGGCUGUGGGCGGCGAAGGGAGGCGACGACAGAGUCGACGGAGAUGGGCGGUGUCACGCGAGGCGGUGUCUGGCGGCAAGGGGGGUUGAGCGGAGGAUGGCGAUCAAGAUGAGAGCGAAAACGGAUAUGGUUCUUUUUUACUAGGUAGGGCAGUUUAAAUGAACAAGUGCUUGCGUGGGCCUAAUGGGCCUAAUGUGCAACACCAUAAGUAAGUUAGUAGCUAUGGCAUGCAAAAAUAUAGUGUUGGCCUCGCUUGGAAAUGGCGUGCCACAAACAUAAAUUGUGACUAGCCAUUUCUCCAUUUGUCUGUUAGUCAUCAAGACCAGCCGACAUGAGUCCACAGCCGAGGAUUCACGACUCUCUUCCUCGACCCUAUCAUCACGCCAUCGGUCAUCCAAAGCCCUCAUGAACAGCAACAUCAGCCUAAAACCCAUAUAUGAGGAUAACCCUGCAAAAUAUGCAGUUUAACAGAUCUUGAAUCCAACCAAGCUGACUUACCUUUGAAGGUAUAGUCCUUGAAAGGGAAACAUGUUACACUAGUAAGAUCUCCCUGGACUUGCUAUUCAGAACACCCAACAACUACUGGGUCGAGGAGUUAAUCUUCAGCAUAGUGUCGUUACAAAGAGGCUAUCACACGCUUUCUCGGCCAAGUUGUGUUCGCUAAAUUUACUUUGUCACUCAUUAUGCCUACAUGAACCUAAAGAUUCCAGGGCCCAAUGGCAUGAUCACAAUUAGUAGCAACGCUGACUGUUCACUUAAAGACAAGGACAAAAUCAUCGCUUUGGCUCUCGAAGUAGAAUCUGAGGUAGUUGGAGCUGAGGAAUUAUGUGAGUUAUGAGUAAUUGUCGAUAGAGAUGACGGUGUCCUCACCAAAUGGUUAAAAUCGACAUCAUUCUAGCCAACCAAUGAGAUUGUGAAAUUUCAAGUUCACUACGAGGAUGUGUCUAAAAUGGUCUCCAUUGGAACCCGCCUAGAUGCUGCAUUAGAUGAAGCAUUGCACAGUUUUCUGUGUGAAAAAUAAGAUAUUUUUGCUUGGCAUCCUUUUGAUAUGCCAAGCAUACAAAGAUAUCUCACGAAACACAGCGUCAACAUCAUCAAGGGGUUUAAGCCAGUUAAAUAGGCGUUGUGUCGGUUCCCAAAGACGAAGAGUUGGGCAAUGGGAGAAGAACUGGCCAAACUGCCGGAAGUUGGAUUCACCCGAGAAGCAAAACAUCUUGAUGAGUUGGCAAAUCUCGUCAUGGUACCAAAAGAGACAAAUCCUAGCGCAUGUGUAUCGAUUUCAAGGACGUCAAAAGGCUUGUCCAAAGGAUCCCUUGCCAUUACCAUGAAUCGAUCAUAUUGUCGAUGUCACGACCGGACAUGAUCUAUUGUGUUUUGUUUAUGCAUAUUCGGGUUAUCAUGAGAUGAGGUUUAAGGAAUCCGACCAAGAGGCCACAACAUUCAUAACUCCCUAUGACCCAUUUUGCUGUAACAGAAAAAAAUGUUGGCGCAACAUAUGAGUCGUAUGAUACAUACAUAUGCUUGAAAGCACAUAUUCUCCCUUGGAGGUUUUGAUAAUUCUUGAAAACAUACAUUAUCUCUUGGACUAACAAUUCUACCUAGUAUGUUUCAGUUUAAGUCCAAAGAUUGCAGAAACUGGGAAUUGUGAGGAGGAUCCCCAAGAAGGAAAGGAACAUGAUUGGCAGUGGCUUCAAGAUCUUCAAGACUCAAAAUUUGCUUUAUGUGAGAAAUCACUUUUGAGUCCAUAGGAAAGGCAAUACUAUUAAAAGGGGAUGAGGUAUCUAUGUUGAUGUGGUUGCUCAAAGUGUUUAGAGAUGCCACCAAUAUUUCCCGUAUCAGCCCCACCGAUUUUCCUUAGAUAUAACCCAAGCCGAACCCUAGCAGAUCGAUACAACUGAGAUUCACUUAGGUACAACCAAAAAGCAGUGACCACCUUGAUGUUCCCCAAUUGCUAAAAAUCAAAGUUUCUGAGUUUUGCAUUUUGGUACCACCGAGUCACUGUAACUGCCUAGGACAACUGAAUUGGUCUCAUCGAGAACCCAAAAAUCUUAGCAUUUUGCACUAGUAAGUGCAACCGAGUUUCACUUUGAUUCCACCAAGUUGGGAAAUAAUGUUGUAACGGUUGGAUUUCUGGAGAUGGCUACAUAUAGCCCUCCUAAUCCCUAUCAUUCAUAGAGAGAGCACUCAGAACAAGCAAACACUCCCACCAUUCAUUUUGAGAGAGAACCACCUACUCAUGUGUUGAGAUCAAGAUCUACGACUCCAACCAUAUGAAUCUUGAUUUCUAGCCUCCCCAAGUUCCAUUCCACCCAAUCAAUCUCUUAUACCAAGCCAAAUUCUAUGAGAGAGUGAUUGAGUGUUGAGGAGACUAUUUUUGAAGCACAAGACCAAUAAGUUAAUCAUCCAUACCAUAGCUAUUACCUUUUGGAGAGUGGUCUCCUACAUUGGUUAGGUGUCGCUUUGGAACCUCCAAAUCGUCGAGAGUUGAACCAAGAAGUUUGUAACACUACUAGAAUCAGCUUCUUUGACAUCAGUCCAUUAUUUGUCGUGUGCUUGCUGAUGGCAAAGAAGCUCUUUGUCGUCUGCUUCCAUAAAAUAGACGACAAAGAAUGCACUGAUCGAAAAUACACUAUUUGUCAUCAAUCCUUUCUUUGUCGUCUGCCUGCAGACGACAAAGAGCCCAGCUGGGCCCCACAGGACCGUGGGGAUGGUUGGGUCAAUGGAUGACAUCCACUUGUGCUUUGUCUUGUGCCUUUAGGGUCUUUGUCGUCUGCUCGCAGACGGCAAAGCCCUUCCCUAUCUAAUGACCGUUAGCCCCCUCCCCUCUCCCCCUCCGUCUCUCUCCCCCACCCUGCAACCGCCGCGGAACCACCCCCUUCCCCAUCGUCGGUGCCACCCCUCCUUCCCCCACCGGAGACGCCACCCCCUUCCCCAUCACGACGCCACAUCCCCGCGGACCUCCACUACCACAACGGCGCCACCCCACCCCCCAUGUCGUCAGAGCCACGUCCUACACCACCGCGGCGCCACCCCCUUCCUACACCUCUGACGACACCCCCCUUCCCCCACUGUAGAGCCCCCCUUCCCCGUGACCCUCCUACACCAUCGUGGCACCACCCCACCACCCCUCCCUCUCGUCGGAGCAAGGCGGCAACACAACCCCAUCCCCAUGGACCUCUGAUAACCCACAAGUAUAGGGGAUCACAAAAGUUUUCAAGGGUAGAAUAUUCAACCCAAAUUUGUUGAUUCGACACAAGGGGAAGCAAAAGAAUAUUCUCGAGUAUUAGGAGUUGAGUUAUCAAUUCAACCACACCUGAAAGACUUAGUAUCUACAACAAAGUAUCAGUAGCAAAGUGGUGUGAUAGCAACAGUAGCAAUGGUAACAGUAGCAGCAGUGACAACAGUAGCGGUAAAGUAACAGUACCAACAGUGACAACAGUAGCGAUAAAGUAACAGUACCAACAGUGACAACAGUAGAGGCAAAGUAACGUAGCAAGGACCAGUAGGAAAAGAUCGUAGGCAUUGGAUCAGUGAUGGAUAAUUAUGCCGGAUGACAUUCAUCAUGCAACAGUUAUAACAUGGGGAGAUAUGUAACUAUCUCCAGUUCGUUAAUGUAAUGUAGGCAUGCAUUCCGUAUAUAGUCAUCCGUGCUUAUGAAAAGAACUUGCAUGACAUUUAUUGUCCAUCCCUCCCGUGGCAGCGGGUUCCUCAUGGAAACUACAUGAUAUUAAGGUUCUCCUUUUAAUAGAGAACAGGAACAAAUCAUUAGCACUUAGUGAAUACAUGAACUUCUCAUACUAUGGUCAUCUCCGGGAGUGUUUCCGGCUAUUGCACUCCAGGGUUGCCGGGUCAUAACACAUAGUAGGUGACCACAAUAUGCAAGAUAGGAUGAAGGACACACAUAUAUUGACGAGAACAUAAUAGGUUCAGAUCUGAAAUCAUGGCACUCGGGCCCUAGUGACAAGCAUUAAGCAUGGCAAAGUAGUAGCAACAUCAAUCUCAGAACAUAGUGGAUACUAGGGAUCAAUCCCCAUCAAAACUAACUCGAUUACAUGAUAGAUCUCAACCAACCCAUCACCGUCCAGCAAGCCUACGAUGAGAUUACUCACGAACGGUGAAGAACAUCAUCAAAUUGGCGAUGAAGGAAGGUUGGUAAUGACGAUGGCGACGAUCUCCCCUCACCGGAGCACAGAACGAACUCCAGAUCUUCCCUCUAGAGGAAGAACAGGUGAUGAUGGCGCCUCCGUAUCGUAAAACGCGAUGAAAUCUUCUCCUUGAUUUUUUUCCGGACGAAAGGGACUAAAUAGAGCUGGAGUUGGAGGCGGCGGAGCCCUGAGGGCCCCACAAUCCUACUAGGUGCGGCGAGGGGGGCCCGCGCAUCCUGGGCUUGUGGGCUCCUCGCUCCACGCCUCUGGUUGAUUGUUGCGCCAAUAUUUUUUAUAUAUUCCACAAAAAAUCCUCGUAAAUUUUCAUUCUGAGAACUUUUAUUUCUGCGCAAAAACAACACCAUGGCAAUUCUGCUGAAAACAGCGUUAGUCCGAGUUAGUUCCAUUCAAAUCAUGCAAAUUAGAGUCCAAAACAAGGGCAAAAGAGUUUGGAAAAGUAGAUAUGAUGGACAUGUAUCAACUCCCCCAAGCUUAAAGCCUUGCUUGUCCUCAAGCAAUUCAGUUGACAAACUGAAAGAGACAAAAGAAAAACUUUUACGAACUCUGUUUGAUCUUGUUGUUGUAAUCAUGUCUAACUCAUAUUCAGAUUUUCAAUAAGAUCAUAAGCUAACCACGUAAGCAAUGACAUUAUGUCUCAUGAAGUACUCAUAUCAAUGGCAUAAUCAACUAGCGAGCAAUAAUAAUAAGUUUCAAACGUCAACACUUCAAUCAAAACAAUCAUGAAGCAAUAUGAACAGAUGGUAUCUCGCUAGCUCUUUCUGAGACCGCAAAACAUAAAUGCAGAGCACCUUCAAAGACCAAGGGCUCACUGAACAUUGUAAUUCAUGGCAAAGAAGAUCCAGUCACAGUCAUACUCAAAAACAAUUUAUAGCAAAGCAUAAAAAUGACGGAGAUAAAUAAUUUUGGGUUGCAUGCUUUCGUUGUCAACGCGAUGGCCAAGAGUUUUCACCAUCUUCCAUGCUACACAUUGAAAAGUAAAGUUUUGACUCUCCCACCACCGAUCAAUCACACUCCACGACUAGCCGAAUCCUCGGGUGUCGUACAUACCAACAACAAUCCAGGGGGAGUUUUGUUUACAAUUAUCUUUUCAAUUUGAGCAUGGAACUGGGCAUUCCAAUUACUGGCCCUUUUCUCGUGAGUGAUAGUGAAUAAACACAUAUCGAGGAUAACAUGCCUAGCAUGGAAGAUACUGACCGCCCCUUGUCGCCACAUGAGCGGUUCGGGCAUGCAAAACAGAUUAUUUCUUGAAGGUUUAGAGAGUGGCACAUGCAAAUUUUCUUGGAUCGGCAGGUAGAUACCGCGUAUAGGUAGGUAUGGUGGACUCAUAUGGAACGACUUUGGGUUUAUCAAAGUGGAUGCACAAGCAGUAUUCCCGCUUAGUACAAGUGAAGGCUAGCAAAAGACUGGGAAGCGACCAACUAGAGAGCGACAACAGUCAUCAAAAUGCAUUGAGAUUAACCAACAUUGAGUGCAAGCAUGAGUAGGACAUAAAUCACCAUAAACAUGAAUAUCAUAGAGGCUAUGUUGAUUUUGUUUCAACUACAUGCGUGAACAUGUGCCAAGUCCAGCCACUUGAAUCAUUCAAAGGAGGAUACCAUCCUAUCAUACUACAUCAUAAUCAUCUCAAAAUUCAUGUUGGCAUCCAAGACAAACCAUUAUAAGCUCCUAGCUAAUUAAGCAUGGCAUCAAAAACUAUGAUCUCUAAGUUGUCAUUGCAAACAUGUUUCUUUAAAAACAAAGCUGAAUUAGGAACGAUGAGCUAGUCAUAUUUACAAAAACAAAAUAGAUCGAGUUCAUACCUGCUUUUCCAGGCUCAGUCACUUCAUCACAUAUCGUCAUUAUUGCCUUUCACUUGCAUGACCGAAUGAUGUGAACAAUAAUAAGAGUGUUCGUGCAUUGGACUAUGCUGGAAUCUGCAAGCAAACACAAAGGAGAAGACAAAGUAAUAUGGCUCUUUGACAGAUAAACAGAUAUGCAUGCGAGAGCCACUAACACUGUAACCAUGGUAUUUUACCUUGACCCAAAGAAAAAGAAAGCUAUUUACACGGAAAGCUCCCAACAGGCAAAAGAAGAACGAGAAAUCUUUUUGGGUUUUCUCAAACUAGACAAACACACGAGAAGAAAGCAAGAAAAAAGAAAUAAACUAGCAUGGAUGAUACAGUGGCAAAGUAUGAACACCAACUAACAAAGUGAAAGUGUAAGCAAGAAUAUAAAGUCGGUGAGAAACACGUACUCCCCCAAGCUUAGGCUUUUGGACUAAGUUGGUCUACUCCCAUGGCUGGUCCAGGCGAUAUCCAAAAUCAUAAUGGGGGUUGUACGAGAACGCGGCAGCUACCGCGUGAAUAGCUGCCUCACGGAGGUGAGCAGCCUUUGCCACCCUCUCAUACUCAUGUAACUCUCCUCUGGUUAUGUAAUAUCUCCAUUUUACCUGAAAGUCAAAGAAGGCAGGAGCAAGAAGGGUAAUAUGGAAAACACGCUGUCGGUUAAAUAUUAACCGGUAUAGGAGGGAUUCAUUAUCCCUCUCAAGAAAUUGAUAACGUGUCAUAGCGGUGCGAUCAAGGAAAGCUGUAUGGGGUGGGGAUCUCCUUCGAGGAUGGAUACUCCAAGAAAAUUUGCUAUGCGAGUGGCAUAGAUCCCACCAAACAAAUCCCCUUAAUUAGCAUUAUUGUUUAGCCUCCUCACUAUUAUAGCUCCCAUGUUGAAACUUCUAUCACCCGUUACUGCACUCUUAAGAAUACUAAGGUCAGGUGCGCAGAGGUGACAAUGCUCAAUCUUGUCGUUAAUGCAUCUACCUAUGAAGAGGGCAAAGUAAUGCAAGGCAGGAAAAUGAAUGCUCCCCAUGGUAGCCUGCGUAAUAUCUCUAGUUUCUCCGACAGUUAUACUAGAGAUAAAAUCUCUAACCGAAGACUUAGGAGGAUCAUUGAGACUACCCCAAUCAGGUAUCUUGCAAAUUCUAUUGAAAUCCUCUAAAUCCAUGGUAUACGAUUUGUCAUACAGAUCAAACAGUAUGGAUGUGUCACGGCUAGCUGAAAAUUUGAAUCUACGAACAAAAGAGGCAGUGAGAGUAGUAUACCGUUCACAUUUGUCGGAGAUGAAUUCUUCGAGCCCGACGUUGUGACCAAGUGUAUCAAACUCGUCUUUGAAACCUGCAUCAAUCAUGAUUUCAUCAGAAGGCCAUUCACAUGGUUGUACCUAUGCGUUCCUCGGUUGGUAAGGAUCGGGCUCCCGAAUCGCGAGACGGGGAUCCCUCUUGCUUGAUGAACCACCAUGCUAGUUUCUCCUGGAUAUCUUCCUUUUCUGAAAUUUUUAGUGACUCAAAGGAAAAGUGAAUAAGGCUCAAUGAAACUCAUGGCAACUACUCCUACAAGUGCCUAGAGUUCAUAUCACGCAUCAAAACUACUUGGGACCAGCUAAAAUUAGCAUGCAAAGCUCAAGAACGGGGUCACCAAGGCGGCAAUAAUACGCAACGAAUAAGGCACUAGAGCAAAAACUAAUUGGACCAUUGGAGGAGUCACAUACCAAGGAACAAUUCCCCCAAAACAGUUUGGUGAAUAGGGCUUUGCACAAGGAGAUCGAAAAUCGUAGCAAGAAGAGCAAGAACACGGGUUUGAGUUGUAGAAUGAAUUUUUCUAGAGGUAGGAGAAGGAGAUGGGAGCUGGAAUAAGUGGAGGGGGACACGUGGGCCCCACAAGCUUGGUAGGCACGGCCAAGGGGGUGCCCGCGCCUCCUGGGCUUGGGGCCCACUCGUGCAUCCCCCUGACUAGCUCUCCGUCUCAGAAUUUUUCAAAAAUUCCAGAAAAAAUCAUACUUGAUUUUCAGGGCAUUUGAAGAACUUUUAUUUUCGGGUCACUUUUCUACGGGAUGCAAAAAGCAGAAAACAGGAGAAACUAAAGCUAAAUCUAUCAUUUUCCUUCUAAACAACCGAAAGUAAAAGAUCGGGACAGAGGGUUGUGACUCCUAGACUCAUCCAUCUCAUGGUCAUCAAAAGAAAUCCGUCAAUGAGGUUGAUCAAGUCUCCUUGACAAACUUUUUUUGAAUCGCGUAAAAACAUUGAAUUUUUGAAUAGUCACUAGGUUACCUCAAUGGGGAUGUGCAUAUCCCCAACAAGCAAAUCAUACUUCAUCUUAACAACAGGUAUAGGGCAUUCAAAGCUCCCAAUAAGAAUCGAUGAAGUUUUUUCAAUAGCAUUGAUGCAAUGUACUCGUUGUUGUUUAUUCGGAAAGUGCACCGUAUGCUCAUUACCAUUGACAUGGAAAGUGCCUUUGUUGCAAUCAAUAACAGCCCCUGCAGUGUUUAAAAAGGGUCUUCCAAGGAUGACCGCCGUGGCAUCAUCCUCAGGAAUAUCCAGAAUAACAAAGUCCGUUAAGAUAGUAACGUUAGCAACCACAACAGGCACAUCCUCGCAAAUGCCGAUAGGGAAAGCAGUUGAUUUGUCGGCCAUUUGCAGGGAGAUUUCAGUGGGUGUCAACUUAUCCAAUUCAACUCUACGAUAAAGAGAGAGAGGCAUAACACUAACACCGGCUCCAAGGUCGCAUAAAGUAGUUCUAACGUAGUUGCCUUUAAUGGAGCAAGGUAUAGUGGGCACUCCGGGAUCACCUAGUUUCUUAGGAGUUCCACCCUUCAAGGUGUAAUUAGCGAGCAUGGUGGAAAAUUCAACCUCACGUAUCCUCCUCCUAUUAGUCACAAUAUCUUUCAUGUACUUGGCAUAGGGAGACAUUUUGAGCAUAUCUAUCAAAUGCAUUUGCAGAAAGACAGGUCUAAUCAUUUCAACAAAUCGCUCAAAAUCCUCAUCAUCCUUUUUCUUGGAUAGUUUGGGAGGAAAGGGCAUGGGUCUCUGAACCCAUGGUUCCUAGCAGUCAAGUCAUUCUUAUCGUAUCUCCUAUUUUUAGGUUGUGGGUUGUCAAGAUCAACUGGGUCAAUCUCCACAUCCUUCUCAUUGCUAGGUUGAGCAUCAUCAUGAACACCACUAUCGAUAUUAUCACUAGGCUCAUGUUCAUCACCAGAUUGUGUUUCGGCAUCAGAAACAGAGACAACGUUUGGAUUCUCGGGUGUAACAGCGGCAGGUUUUCUAGCAUGCAAGUUCCUAUCAUUUUCUUUUUCUUCCUAGGAUGACUAGGUGCCUCGGUGCUGACUCCUUGAGAAUCUUGUUCAAUUCUCUUAGGAUGACCCUCGGGAUACAAAGGUUCCUGGGUCAUUCUACCACCUCUAGUGACGACUCUGAUAGAAUUGUCAUUCAGCUCAUUGAGCAAGUCAUUUUGAGCCUUAAGUACUUGUUCUACUUGAGUAGUAACCAUAGAGGCAUGUUUACUCAAAAGCUUAAGAUCAUUGACGUUUCUAUCCACACAAGCACUUAAAUGACUAAGCAUACGAGCAUUCUGUUCCAAUUCUCUGCUAACAUAAUCAUUGAAACUUUGUUGUUUGGCAACAAAGUUAUCAAAUUCCUCCAGGCAUAAGCUAGCAGGUUUAUCAAAAGGAAUAUCACUCUCAUUGAAUCUAUGAAGAGAAUUUACCUCUACUAUCUGUGUCGUGUUAUCAAGACCAUGGAUCUCUUCGAUAGGUGGUAGAUUUUUGACAUCUUCAGGUUUAAUGCCUUUCUCUUUCAUAGAUUUCUUAGCUUCUUGCAUAUCUUAAGGACUGAGGAAUAGAAUACCUCUUUUCUUCGGAGUUGGCUUCGGAGGUGGUUCGGGAAUAGUCCAAGCAUUCUCAUUGCACAAGAUAUUAUUCAAUAGGAUCUCAGCUUGUUCCACAGUUCGUUCCCUGAAAACACAACUAGCACAACUAUCUAGGUGGUCCCUAGAAGCAUCUGUUAGUCCAUUAUAGAAGAUAUCAAGUAUUUCAUUCUUUUCAAGAGGGUGAUCAGGCAAAGCAUUCAGUAGCUGGAUGAGCCUCCCCCAAGCUUGUGGGAGACUCUCUACUUCAACUUGCACAAAGUUAUAUAUUUCCUGCAAGGCAGCUUAUUUCUUAUGGGAAGGAAAAUAUUUCUCAGAGAAGUAGUAGAUCAUAUCCUGGGGACUAUGCAUACAACCAGGAGCAAGAGAAGUGAACCAAGUCUUAGCAUGACCCUUUAGCGAGAAAGGAAACAGCUUAAGGAUAUAGUAGUGGCGGAUCUUUUCCUCACUCGUGAAUAGGGUGACCAUAUCGUGCAGCUUAGUAAGAUGUGCUACAACCAUUUCAGACUCAUAACCAUAAAAAGGAUCAGAUUCGACCAUAGUGAUUAACUCAGGGUCGACAGAUAAUUCAUAAUCCUUAUCGGUCACAAAGAUAGGCGAAGUAGCAAACUUCGGGUCGUAUUUCAUCCUAGCGUUCAAAGAUUUUUCUUUCCACUUGCGCAGUAAUUUCUCAAGAUCAUAUCUAUCCUUACAAGCAAGAAAGUCCUCAGCUAUCUCUCCCUCCAUAACAUAACCCUCGGGUAUAUCAGGAAAUUCAUAUCUAGGAGAGCUAGUUCUAACAGGUGAAAUAGCAGGUUCUACUUCAAUAAUAUCAGCAGUUUCAGAAGUAUCAUCCCAUUCAGCAGGAACUCUAGCAAUAUGUGCAUCAAGGAAUGCACCUAGUGGCAAAGCAGUAUCAAGCAAAGUAUCAUCACAAGCAUCAUGGAUAGCAGAAGUAGCAUCAUCAAGCAUAGACGACACAUAAAAAAUUCUAGCAGGAGGUGGUGUCGCAAACUUACUGAUAACUGAAGGCGAAUCAAGUGCGGAGCUAGAUGGCAGCUCCUUACCCAUCCUCGUAGUUGAGGGCAAGACUUUAGUUUUUGGAUCUCUCGAAUUCCUCAUAGUGAUCAACAUACGUAAAUCCCAAGUGACUCAGAGAAUAGAGCUAGGCCUCCCCGGCAAUGGCGCCAGAAAAUAGUCUUCAUAACCCACAAGUAUAGGGGAUCGCAACAGUUUUCGAGGGUAGAGUAUUCAACCCAAAUUUGUUGAUUUGACACAAGGGGAAGCAAAAGAAUAUUCUCGAGUAUUAGCAGUUGAGUUAUCAAUUCAACCACACCUGAAAGACCUAGUAUCUGCAGCAAAGUAUCAGUAGCAAAGUGGUGUGAUAGCAACAGUAGCAAUGGUAACAGUAGCAGAAGUGACAACAGUAGCGGUAAAGUAACAGUAGCGGCAAAGUAACGUAGCAAGGACCAGUAGGAAAAGCUCGUAGGCAUUGGAUCGGUAAUGGAUAAUUAUGCUGAAUGACAUUCAUCAUGCAACAAUUAUAGCAUGGGGAGAUAUGUAACUAGCUCCAGUUCGUCAAUAUAAUGUAGGCAUGCAUUCCGUAUAUAGGCAUACGUGCUUAUGAAAAGAACUUGCAUGACAUCUAUUGUCCAUCCCUCCCAUGGUAGCGGGGUCCUAAUGGAAACUACGGGAUAUUAAGAUUCUCCUUUUAAUAGAGAACCAGAACAAAGCAUUAACACUUAAUGAAUACAUGAACUCCUCAUACUAUGGUCAUCUCCGGGAGUGGUUCCGGCUAUUGUCACUCCGGGGUUGUCGGGUCAUAACACAUAGUAGGUGACUACAACUUGCAAUAUAGGAUCAAGAACACACAUAUAUUGACGAUAACAUAAUAGGUUCACAUCUGAAAUCAUGGCACUUGGGCCCUAGUGACAAGCAUUAAGUAUGGCAAAGUAGUAGCAACAUCAAUCUCAGAACAUAGUGGAUACUAGGGAUCAAUCCCCAUCAAAACUAACUCGAUUACAUGAUAGAUCUCAUCCAACCCAUCACCUUCCAGCAAGCCUACGAUGAGAUUACUCACGAAUGGUGAAGAGUAUCCUGGAAUUGGCGAUAAAGGAAGGUUGGUGAUGACGAUGGCGACGAUCUCCCCUCUCCGGAGCCCAGAACGGACUCCAGAUCUGCCCUCCGGAGGAAGAACACGUGGUGACGGCGCCUCCGUAUCGUAAAACGCAAUGAACUCUUCUCCUUGAUUUUUUUCCAGAUGAAAGAGACUUAAUAGAGAUGGAGUUGGAGGCGGAGGAGCCCUGAGGGCCCCACAAUCCUGCUAGGCGCGGCCAGGGGGGGCGCGCCUCCUGGGCUUGUGGGCUCCUCGCUCCACGCCUCCGGUUGAUUCUUGUGCCAGUAUUUUUUAUAUAUUCCACAAAAAAUCCUCGUAAAUUUCCAGGUCAUUCCAUGAACUUUUUUGCUGUUGCACAAAAACAACACCAUGGCAAUUCUUUUGAAAACAGCGUUAGUCCGGGUUAGUUCCAUUCAAAUCAUGCAAAUUAGAGUCCAAAACAAGGGCAAAAGAGUUUGGAAAAGUAGAUACGAUGGAGACGUAUCAACCUCCUCCACCACUGCAGCCCUCCUCUACCAUCGUGGCGCCACCCCCCUCCAAGAUAGUCCAUUUUUAGUUUUGGCGGAUUUUUUUUGUUUUAGUUUUGGUAGUUUUGGUAGUUAGUGGUUCUCGUGUGCAACAUACACCAUCUAUAAAUUGAAAAUAUAGUUAGCUACUACUGGUGUCCUUCGCUGCUCGAUUGGGUGGGGGAGUCAUGAGGGUUAAGCAUAGUCACCGCCUAGUCCUUUCAUUUUCAUUUUAAAUAUAUGUCCGUGAAAUCUCGGGAGCGUGGGAGCGUGAUAGUGUUUCGGAAGGCCAGUGCGUGAUCUGAAAUGUGUUUUGGCGGGAGCGAGAUGACGAUGGCCAAAAUUUUGGAGUGGGGUUGGCAUGGGAGGAAACUUUGUGCCUUCUUAUUGGUCCAUCCGACGCUCCCAUGGAUUGCUAACAUCAGCUCGAUCUUAGCCGUUCAUCCUACCUAGAUCCUAUGGCUCAGACACCAAGUCAUGUGGAUCACGCCCUAUUAAAGAUUUUUACUGCUCCGACCUAUACUUUAUUGACGACACACAAUUAAAUAAAGAGAGAAAAAUACUAGAAAACUACUAUAGGCUAAAUAUAAACACACGGGACUAAAAAGUAAAUAUUGAAAUAGAUCUUUCUAACUACAACCUCUACUACUUUAUGGAUACACCAAAAUAAAUAUUUGGUAGUAGUGUUUAUUUUCUUUCGUACACCACCAAAAUUUCAAGUGUGCAUUGCAUCGGAUAGACCGUUGAGUCCACGAUGCCCCCAACACCGAUGGGCUAUACACUGCCUCGUAACAAUAACACAGGUGAUAUGGUGCGUGUGUGGAGGCCAUGUGGUACCGAUUCCCCUUGAUGCGGAUAUGUUAGAUGGUGUAGCGGCAUAUUAACAUUGAUUAGCUAAUAAAUGUUAUAUACUUAGCUUGUUUUUCUUUAAAAUUCAUAAUUAGCUUAGUUAGGUCAAAAAUGGCAUAAUAACCUUGGCUAGCUCAUAAAUGUCAUAUACCUAGCUUAUUUUACUCCAAAAUGAUAUAAUAAGCUAAAAAAUGGCAUUGAAAGAAAACAUAAAGAAUCGAAGAGGAAAGAGAACAAAAAGAAAGAAUAAAAUAAGAAGAAUGAGCUUCUUCUUUCUUUCUUCUUAUUAUUUCCCUUCUCUUGCUUCUUCUUUUGCUUCUUCUUCUUCUUCUUCUUCGUCUUCUUCUUCUUCUAAUAUUCUUCUUCUUCCUCUAAUCUUCUUCUUCUUCUUCUUCUAGUCUUCUUCUUCUUCUUAUUAUUAUUAUUAUUAUUAUUAUUCUCGUCUUCUUCUUCUUCUUGUACUACUACUACUACUACAACUUCUUCAUCAUCUUCUUCUACUAAUACUACUACUACUACUACUACUACUACUACUUCUUCUUCUUCAUCUUCUUCUUCAUCGUCAUCUUCAUCUUCUUCUUCUUCGUCGUCUUAUUCUUCUUAGCUAAUUAUCCCCCAAAAUGAGAUAAUUAGCUUAUUUAGUUCAUUUAUGACAUAAUUAGCUUAGUUAGGUCAGAAAUGACAUAAUAACCUUGGUUAGAUCAUAAAUGUUAUAUACUUAGCUUGUUUUCCUCUAAAAUGACAUAAUUGGCUUAGUUAGGUCAAACUGGCAUAAUAACCUUGGUUAGCUCAUAAAUGUCAUAGAAUUCAAUGCCCAAGAAGCGACCCUAUCCUUAUUUUGGCACGAGGGCCUCGACAGAGAUAGAAGCGUAUGUUGUCAUUUCGCAAGAAUGGAUAUUGUUACAAGUACAUGUAGAUAAGAGAUGAGUAUAUCGAAUUGGCUUACACUAGGCACAAGCUAAAUCAUGAACAUCUCAAUACAAAAAUACAUUCAAACAUCAUGUAGAAGAGCAGGAUCCGACUACACAGUAAAAAUAAAUGAUAAAAGAAUGACGUCCAUCCUUGCUAUCCCAGGCUGCCAACCUGGAACCCAUCCUAGAUCGGUGAUGAAGCAGAAGAAGAAAUUCCAAAUAGAAGAAUCAUCACACUCACGUCAAAGUACCACUUUACCUCUACCUACAAAUGUUUUUCUAGUAAUAUGUGACCCACUGGGACUCCACAACCUCAUUUCCAAAGGUAUCAAGACUAGGAAAUCUUAAUGUGUGAGGUAUGGUUAAGUGGUGAGGCUGCGGCAAGCAACUACACAUUUGUUUGGGGUGGCUAACUUACGAGCACAAGAAAUAGAGGGGGGUUGAUCUACGCUUGACGGUCGUGAACUAAUAAUGAUCUCGAAGUGAUCCUAAAGACCUACUUACGUCAAACAAAACCCCACCAUGUCCUCUUCUGGAUAAGAACUCACGAGAAGAGACAGUCACGAUUACGCACAUAGUUGGCAUAUUUCUAGUUAAUUUUACUUCUCGUUUGCUAUGACCGUGUGUUAAACAAAGCUUCCAAGUUGCCAUAUAACCGCCGGCACGGCUCUCAGAAAGAUUUAACCCUGCAGGGGUGCUCCAACUGGUCCAUCACAAACUAGCACAAGCUGCGUCGAAAGCCUCGACCACGGAAAAUCCGUGAUCUCCUCGGAUUCCUGGUGGAGAACCUAAAUCUUGAGAUAGCCCAAAGUAUGCUCAAAAUCCCUCGCACAAGAGGUCUGAGAAGGGUAAAACCAAUCCAUCAAGACCGCCCAACAUGGCAAUGCCCCCGAUAAGAGCCGCUUAUCUCAUUCCCAAGACACGUCAGAUAAGAGAAGCGUACGGUGGCCUGAUAGAAAUCAUCCAAUUUGCGAUGCGUUGGCCCCGCACAAUGCUCUGGUUUGGACCAACACUCAUGAAGAGCACUGGCCUAGGGGGUUUGAUUAAUUAUCCACGAGGUGAUCAGUGCCUUAUGCAAGUUUUAUUAGUUGUUAUUAAGCAAAUAGUACCAAUGUUGGGCUUUCCAAAUGAGUUUUAUCCUAAAAAGUAAAGUCAAGGGGCCCCCCAUAAUAACCCCAAGUAUGUUAGGAGCACUCAGUAUGGAACAUAACACCGGUACACAAGUGACUAAGGCGGCAAAGUUGGAACAAAACACCGAGCUAGAAGGCCAAGCCUUCCACCUCUUACCAAGUAUAUAGGUGCAUUAAAUUAGCAAUAAUAUGGUGAUAUAACAAGGAACCCAUGUUUUCACAUGGAAGCAACUACACCUACAACUAGCAACGCUAUAAGAAGGCUCAGCAAGCGGUAACAUAGCCAAACAAGGGUUUGAUGGGUUGUGGAGGGGUUAGAGGCUUUCAUGCCAAUGUUGAGAGGCUGAACAUAAUAGGUGGUAGGCAGCGAGUCAUAGCGUAAGAAACGAGACAACUAGCAUGGCAAUGGUAGUAGUGUUAUCCAGGGAAAUUAUCAUCCUAUCUGUAAUCCCUCUUAGUAGAAGAAUAAAUCCGUGAAGCAAAAUCCUCACACUUCGAGACGCUUGCGGAACUCUGUCGAUAAGAAGCAAUCCAGAAACAACAAUCGACACACAAUAAACACCACAACAUAUGCAUGACACAAUGCAGAAACACGUGUGAUGCAUGUCCGGUUUAGUUAUGCAAGGCACAGCAAGCACAACAAUCAAUUACUACACAUUAAGUGAAAUUCAAUAUGCAACGAGUUGCAUAUUGAUGAAACACCAUGUUCUAUUUAUUUAGAUCACUCUCGCUUAGGUACACAUAAAUAUUAACUGUUGUUUAACAUGGAAAGAGGUGAAGCAUAAAUAAACUACAUUAUCUAGGCAUUUUAAAUGAGGUCGGAAACAACUUAUAGUAUUUCUGGUAUGACCCCAUAUGUUAAUUUCCAAGUUGGUCCAGAUCUGUAAUAAACAUAUUUUAUAUUUAUUAAACAACAAAAUAAAGUGGACCAUGUGAUUCUACACGUCAUUAUACUCCAUUUACAUAUAUAGACAAUUGCAAACGGAGCUACAGUUUAAAAGAUAGGACCACCACAAGAUAAAAUGUGGUAAAUGCAAAAUGUAUGCAAAUGACAGCUACAAUCAUGUUGAAUCAUAUAUGCAACAAGAUAUUAUGAAACUACAUGAGAUUCUAAGCAAGUUUCAUAUAUGGCACGUUCAAAAUGGAGCAACCACUACUGGAAUUCAGUUAUUUGCCGUCAGCCUCUUCUUUGUCGUCUGCUGGCUGAUGGGAAAGACCAUAUUUGCCGUCAGUCACCAGAAAACUGACGGCAAAGAGCAGACUGAUGGCAAAGAUACUAUUUGCCAUCAGUCUUGUCUUUGCCGUCUACUAGCGCACGGCAAAGAGCAGGAGGCCAGACGACAAAGAAGAGGCUGANUCCUCCCCGGCUGCCCACCGCCCCGACGGCCCACUGCUCGGCUGCCCCACCGCCUCGGCUGCCCACUACCCUCCUCUAAUAGGUGAGUUUGUUUUUUGUUAUUUGAUAAGAUUUAGUUAGUUGAUUUAGUUAUUUGAUCUAGUGGUAGUUUUGUUAGUUGUUUUAGUUAAAUAGUAGAUCUAGUCCUAGGUUUAGUUAAUUAGUGCUAGGUUAUUUGUUAUUUGCUAAUUUAGAGGUAGAUUCUAUUUUGUUAAUUAGUGGUAGAUUCUUUUUUAGUUAAUGAUUGGUAGAUUCUGUUUUUGUUAUUUUUUUGUUGUUUAGUGCUAUAUAGGUUUAGCGAUAGGUUUAGUGAUAGGUUUAGAUUCUACAUAGUCAUAAUUGAAAUAAGUAGAAAAAGGAUGAAGAAUAAAAGAAGAAUAAGUAGAUAAGGGAAGAAGAAUAAGAAGANNNNNNNNNNNNNNNNNNNNNNNNNNNNNNNNNNNNNNNNNNNNNNNNNNNNNNNNNNNNNNNNNNNNNNNNNNNNNNNNNNNNNNNNNNNNNNNNNNNNNNNNNNNNNNNNNNNNNNNNNNNNNNNNNNNNNNNNNNNNNNNNNNNNNNNNNNNNNNNNNNNNNNNNNNNNNNNNNNNNNNNNNNNNNNNNNNNNNNNNNNNNNNNNNNNNNNNNNNNNNNNNNNNNNNNNNNNNNNNNGAAGAAGAAUAAGAAGAAGAGGAGGAGGAGGAGCAGGAGGAGGAUAAAAAGAAGAAGAAGAAGAAAAAGAAAAAAGGAGAGAGGAGAAGAAUAAAGAAGACGAAAAAGGAAAAGAAGGAAGAAGAAGAAGAAGAGGGAAAUGGAAAAGAAGGAGGAAGAAGAAGAAGAGGAAGAAGAAGAAUAAGAAGAAGAAGAAGAAGAAGAAGAAAAGGAAGAGGAGGAAAAAAAGAAGAUGAUGAAGAAGAAAAUGACACCCUGACACCCCGACACCCCGACACGAUGCCCGAAACCCCGACACGACAUCUUGACGACAACUUGGCAGAAAACUCCACGCAGCU